rnacentral:lncRNA from 1 species
AUUUUUUCUUCGUUUGGACUGUGUUUGAUAUUGAUUUCCUGAAAAGCCAAAAACAGGCAACAAACAACAACUGGCACUGGGCAAUAAGUUAAUAGAUUGGUCCCAAAAAAGAUAUAUAAUUGCAUAUAAAACAACCAAGAUUGAUCUAUAAUAGAAUGGAACAAUAAAAAAUUAUAGAUACGUUGGAGACAUAUCAACGUACACUAUGGUAGAAUAGAUUGGUUGCUCCUUCGUGGACCGUUCCUUUAUGGAUUCUCGCAACUGAGAUCUUUGUGGUCUUAGACCCCUCCUGGGUAGUCUCCAUCAAUGUGGAUGUAAGUUAGCACCAACUACCCAAAACAAUGGAAAAAUCUUCAUUGAGAUAACCCGUGUUUACGUAUCUCUAACUGUAAUUGUUUACUUUCACUUGGAUGUCUUUACAUUCUGUUGCCUAUAAUAUUGUAGACUUGCAUGUGUAGGGUGGUUGAUAGAUUGGUAGAAAAGUCUGAAAUUGCCAAGGAAAUUUAAAUUUUGAAAAAGAAUCCAUCUUUUGUUUUNNNNNNNNNNNNNNNNNNNNNNNNNNNNNNNNNNNNNNNNNNNNNNNNNNNNNNNNNNNNNNNNNNNNNNNNNNNNNNNNNNNNNNNNNNNNNNNNNNNNNNNNNNNNNNNNNNNNNNNNNNNNNNNNNNNNNNNNNNNNNNNNNNNNNNNNNNNNNNNNNNNNNNNNNNNNNNNNNNNNNNNNNNNNNNNNNNNNNNNNNNNNNNNNNCUUGGCCAGAUUAGAAGCCAAGACCGGGCAGUGUGAAGCACCUAUUUACAUUUAAAAGAAACAUUUUCAUGAUUUCACAAUUUCUCACUUUGAAAAUCCUUCUGGUUCGCUACACAAUUCCUACAUAAGUGAGCGGGCUAUAAAGUUUUUAGAAGUACCAAAAUACAACAUCAAGAAUCAGCACAAAAACCAUAGAUUCUUCUUUAAAAAAAUACUACCUCCGUUCCAAAAUAUAAGAAGUUUUGGUAGGCUAAAAUAGCCUAUCAAAAUGUCUUAUAUUUUGACACUGAGGUAGUAUCCAUUUAACUAAUUCACCCACUGGGAUGUUCUCGAGAAGCAUGUUCAAUUAGUUUCAAUAUAAUUUAUUCUACCACCUAUGCGAAAAAUAAUGUGUGUAUCGAAUACACACAACUUCUAGAAACUAUUUCAAAAAUUAAUUUUCCACAUGGAAAAUCCUUUUCCUUCAUAUAUAUUUUAUCAUCUAUGGGAACUCCUUUUGUGCGUAAAAUAAUAUAUUCAUGCAUAUGAAAUAAAAUGUUUCCAUGAAUAUGAUUGACCGUAGUCAUGUGCGAAAUAAAACACAAUGUGAUAUAAAUAUAUUAUAUAGAACAAUAUUCCUUCAGAUAUAUUUAGUUUAUGAAAUUUGUUAAUGGGUCCCAAAUAAAAAAUCCAUGUGAUUUUUUUGCGAAGUACUCAGAUCUAUUAUAGAAGUUCACCGGAAGUACAAAGUAUUUCACGUGAGUUGAUCUAUGUUUUUUUGUACAUGAGUAAUCCCUUUUUCCGAAAAUUCAACAAUCCUUUAUUAAUUUGUGAUCAAGAUAGCAUCAUUUACAAGUAAAUAGGUGAUGCACAAGGGGCAUCAUCAAACCAAGUGCUAGAGGGUGAAAAUCUAGCAAUCCUAGCUAGUUCAUAAGCACCUGAAAUUCCUUUUGUAUGGCAGUGUUCAAAACGAACAUGCGAGGGAUCUCGCGCCAUAGGAUAGCGGUCAUCGAAAUUGCAGCAAUUCCCNNNNNNNNNNNNNNNNNNNNNNNNNNNNNNNNNNNNNNNNNNNNNNNNNNNNNNNNNNNNNNNNNNNNNNNNNNNNNNNNNNNNNNNNNNNNNNNNNNNNNNNNNNNNNNNAAAUAUCUGUCAAAUAAAAUGUUCACACAACUUCAAAGAUUAUUUCUGCACGAAAAUAUGUUCCAUAUCAAAAGAAAAUCUUUCAUAAAAAUAUGUACCAUUGUCCGUUAUAUACGUUCAUCUAUUCAAGGAAAAAUAUUUUCACAUGACAUUGGAAAUGUUUCAUAUUGCACGAACAAAUAUGAUAAACUCGCUCGUGUUAACUAUUUUUCUGUGAAACAAAAGCAUGACAAUCAAAACAAAAAUGUAGACCGUAAACAAAAAUUAGUUAUUUCCUGGAAAAUUUUAAAAAUAACAUUAGCGGGAUAAUUAUUGUUGAAACACAUGAAGACUAGGACAAAAGAAAAAGGGAAAACGGAAGGGGAAAAAGGAAAAAUGUUAUCCAAAGAAAACAGAAAGUAAACUACAUGUGUCGAAGGAAAACGGAGUUUGGAGGAGCGUUCCAAAUUCAGUUGCAAGAACCUCCAAAUAAACGCCAACAAGAAAGAAAUGAGCAUUACUUGCGCGCUUUGCACUCUUAUCUCUUGCCUCUCUCAAUCCAUACAUGUAGCUGCUUAGCUGCAGAUCAUGGACACUAUCCUUGCCCAUUAGGCCAAGAGAUUGAAUCAACGACAAAUAAACUAUCAAUGGCAUCCAACCAUCGUCGCUUCCUCCUCUCCGGCGCCGUCUUGCUCUCAGUCCUCGCCGCCGUGGCCGCCCUGGAGAGCGUUGAGGACGAGUGCCAGCCAGGGGUGGCCUUCCCGCACAACGCAUUAGCCACCUGCCACACCUACGUGAUCAAACGGGUCUGCGGCCGCGGUCCCAGCCGGCCCAUGCUGGUGAAGGAGCGGUGUUGCCGGGAGCUGGCGGUCGUCCCGGAUUACUGCCGGUGCGAGGCACUGCGCGUCCUCAUGGAUGGGGUGCGCGCGGAGGAGGGCCACGUGGUGGAGGGCCGCCUUGGUGACAGACGUGACUGCCCGAGGGAGGCGCAGCGGGAGUUCGCCGCCACGCUGGUCACGGCGGCGGAGUGCAACCUGCCGACCGUCUCGGGAGUCGGGAGUACACUUGGUGCGACCGGCAGAUGGAUGACGAUCGAAUUGCCCAAGUAAUGAAGCGAUCAAGCGAAGUACUCUACUGGCAGAUGGAGUACUGCAUGUAGAAUAAAAGUACUCAAGUGAAAACAAAUAAAUAAAGCUUGUGAGCUGUAUGCGUAUGAUCUAUGGUGUGGACUGUUAAAUUGUUGUCGGUUGAUGAAUAAAAAGGGUUGGAACAAAUAAAUUUGUGAUCGGUUCAUGUACAUGCACUGCUGCGGAAAUUGCAGAUUUGAUCGCCACAAACCACUCCGAACCUUGAGUUGGAUUCUCUAAUCUCAUCUAAGUAAGAAUUAUAUGGUCCUUGCACCUGNNNNNNNNNNNNNNNNNNNNNNNNNNNNNNNNNNNNNNNNNNNNNNNNNNNNNNNNNNNNNNNNNNNNNNNNNNNNNNNNNNNNNNNNNNNNNNNNNNNNNNNNNNNNNNNNNNNNNNNNNNNNNNNNNNNNNNNNNNNNNNNNNNNNNNNNNNNNNNNNNNNNNNNNNNNNNNNNNNNNNNNNNNNNNNNNNNNNNNNNNNNNNNNNNNNNNNNNNNNNNNNNNNNNNNNNNNNNNNNNNNNNNNNNNNNNNNNNNNNNNNNNNNNNNNNNNNNNNNNNNNNNNNNNNNNNNNNGCCGCCUGAGGCAGCCGCCGGGCAAGCCCGGGGCGCCAAGGAUGGUGGCGGCGGGGCCUCGGUUGCCCUGCUCUGCGUGGGGAACCCCGGAUCUGGAGCGGCGGCUCCAUUGGCAAGACACGGCCGGCUAGCAGCCAUGCGGGUGGUGGAUCUGGCGUCCCGGCCGCGCGAGCGGUGGGAUUCGGUGGUCGUUGGCGGAGGCUUCUGCGGCGGUCGGUGCACGCGAUCUGGUGUCUCCCCUCCUCCCGUGUUCGGCAUGCGGGCCAGCCUUGUCGGGCCGCGCUUCCUCUUGGUCGCCGGUUCUGUACAGGAGGCGCUGCUGGUGGCGGGGAUCUAGUUCGGGUGAAAUCCCUGGCCGGCCAUGACCGGCCGCGCCGACGGCGACGCCUGAGGGCGUCGUUCCCCUCCUUGGAGGCGUCGGUAUGGACUGAUCUCCUCUCGUCCCCUUCCCCUAGGUCUCCCGGGCGAAAGCCCUAACUUUGUUGGGCGGCGGCGGCGCUCAUGGUGAUGUUCCCUUCUUGAAGGCGCCGCUUUGGGAACCUUAGGGUUGGGUGACGCUUGUGGGUGGUGGGCGACGGCGGUGGUGCGGGCCUAUCCUAGCAUGGAUUUACGUCCGUUGCUUGGAGAUGGACUCGCGUAGGUGGAGGUCGUCGUCUGGCGUCGUGGUGGCGUCAAUGGCGGAGGACCUGCCAAGGCUCGCGUAGGUGGAGGUCGUCGUUUGGCGUCGUGGUGGCGCCGAUCGUGAAGGACCUGCCAAGGUUGUCACCUCAAUCUGCUCUGAAGAUGGACCAGUGGAAGAUGGCGGCGACGACAUAUGUGAGUGCGUCGGACCGGUUUGAGCCCCGGACCCGGCAGAUGGCUCGGUCGGGGCCUCCGGCUUUAGAUGUUAGGCUUAGGUGAGAGGUCUGGGUAUGUGGCCUAGCUUGCACCCCUUCAUCAUUUGGAUAGGAGUAGCGGCAGAUGUUGCCAAGAUGGUGGAUUAAGGCAUAUUGUUGUUCUACUUUAUAAAGUCCUCGAAAAUAAUCAAUAAAAUGGCCGCAUGCAUCUCCCAGAUAUAGAGGCCGGGGGUCAUCCUCCUUUUCUAAAAGAAAGUAAGAAUUAUAUAACUCUCAUCAAACAUCUGCAGUGUCCGAUAUAAAGCAUCCAGAUUCAGGCCUCCUUUGAUUCAAAGAAAUUCAAUAGGAUUUUUUAAGGAAUGAAAUCCUUUGGAAUUUUUCCUACGUUUGUCCUUUAAUUCAUAGGAUUAAAUCCCAUAGAAUUUUUUCCUUUGAAAUCUUUUGUACUACAUUUCAUAGGAAAUCUAACAUCCAUUCCAACCACUUUUUACAAUUCCUUUACUUUUCAUGUGAAAUCAAAUACUCCUUGCUAAUCCUAUAAAAUUCAAGUGAGCAUGACACUCCAAUCCUAUACUUUUCAUAUUCCUACGUUUUUAAAAUCCUGCGAAUCAAAGAGGCCCUCAGUUUGUUUUUACCGCAGGCUAGUGCGUCGUCGUCAUUUUUCGCAUUGGCCCCUUUCUGUUUCUUGUUUUUAGAGAAAAGACAUGAAGGCCCGACUUCAAAUUAAUGAAGCCAUCAGCUGGCUAAGAUACAAUGGUGCUAAAUUACAUAGGCAAAGGCUUGACCAAAAACUGAGAUAAUACAUGCGCAUAUAACUACCACCAGCAGAAGCAGCGAACAAAGCACCAAGAGAGGCAACGAUCAAGCCGUCGGAUAUCCUGCGCAGCCAGAACGACAAAACCGCAGCCACCCGACGAUAGCAAUUGCCGUGGACAUGAAGAUGCAGACCGCUUCAAGGAAGACAUCGACUCCGUCGUCUGCCGCCUCGGACCAUUGCCGGAGGAGGGACCGAUAUCUCCCCUUCGUCCAGACCAUGCCAUACACGCGGACGAACACCACCGGCCGGUGACAAACAGCAAACAAGGAGAGUAGCCGCUAAAAGAUGUGAAAGGACCCACACACACCACCACCAACGACGGCAACCAGGGGAACCGAGCACCGCUGCCGCCACCAACCACCACGCACCAGGACCACAACCCCCAACCACCCCUUGAACGGAGCCUCCAGGGAAGACCAAAAUGCCAGAAUGCCUUCGCCGUCCGGCCAAAAGGCCAAGACUUUCGUCCGGAGAAGGAUGGGUGAGGAGAGGGCGCACCAAGAAGCCGGACCCGCUCAAGAGGGAGAACGGCACCGGAGCGCCGUCGCCGUCGAGGUCAGCGCGAAAUCGACCAGGGGUUUCCCCCGUUACAAGGCUCCACCACCCCAUCCUUGCCGGCCAGAUCUAACGGGGCAACCACCAGAUCGACAAGAGGAGACCACCGCGAGAGGAAGGGGCCGGGAUGAUGAAGAGCCACCCACCGCUGCAGCAAGACCUCGCUGCCCUCACACCGCCCACGCGGCCGUAAGGGACGGCCAUCACCUACGCGCGCCAUCCACCGGAGAGAUCGACACCGCCAUCUCCACCCAAAGUCUCCGCCCUGGCCUCCAAAGCCCCUCACACCGGUGCGAGGCAGCAAAUCCUCGCCGACACCAUCACCCGGAGACGCGUAUCAGCCGACAGCCUCCUUGAGUGGCGGCGAGGAGGGGGAGGGGUGAGAGGUGGCGGCGGCUAGGGUUUGGGGCCGCUUCGAUGUCGCCCCUCGAGAGCCAGGGGAGGUUGUCCUACAUAGAGAGACUCACCCCUUUCUGUUUCUAUGUUGAGUCGUUUGGGCUUUCUUUGUUUUCAUUCUUUUUUGGCAGCUGUUUCAUUUGGAUUUCAUGUCUAUUGGGCUGAGGGUUUUUUUACUUACGGAGGAGUAGUAGCUGGGAACAUAUUAUCCAUAAAUAUAGGACUCCAAUUACGCCCAAACAUUCGGAAUUUGGCUAUGGAAAAUUGAAUGUUUUUAUGUAAAUUUUAGCGAUGCAAUGAUGGAAACUUUAGUUAGCAAGCAUGUCAAAAUCGUGUGUACUGUAUUUUUUGUCAGGGAAUUGUCAUGUGUGUCAACUAAGCUUGUCAUCCUCGCAUCCCUAAAAUUGCCAUAAAAAACGUUCGAUUCGCCAUGGUCAAAUCCCGUACGUUCGGGAUUUAUCAUUUUCGUAAAUAUAUGAGGAGAGAGAGAGAGAGAGUAAGCUAGAGUGAUAAGGAGCAACAAAAAUAAGUAUACUCAUUCCAACUAAAAAAUACUUUACUCAUGAGGAAAUAUACAAGGUAAUACCUAUUUGACCGUCGUUGCGUCAAACUAUCGCCAAAACACAUAGGCCGAAGCGAGCGAACGAGUUAGAUAGAUGGCCCGGCCCAGUUGUAAGGAAUCCAGUUUUACGAACCUUCUAGAAGGUUCCGAUUUGGUCUUUUUUGCUUUUUGUUUUUCCUGUUAUAUUUACAAGUUUGUAACGGAUUUCCUUCGGGUUUUUUGAGUUUUAUUUUUCCUUUUCCUAUUUUUUUCAGUUUCAUUUUCUUUUUCAAAGAUGUUCACAAAAAUCAAAAUUGUUCACAUUUUCACUAAAUGUCAAAGGUUUCAAAAAAUGUUUAGAAUUUCAAAAAAUGUUGCCAUUUUAUAAAAACAUCUUCAAAAAUUCAAUAAUAAUAGUGUUUUUGAAAAAUGUACUGAAACUUCCAAAAAAUGAUUGCAUUUUUCAGAAAUGUUCUCAAAAUUUUAGAAAUGCCCGCAUUUUUCAGAAAUGUUCUCAAAAUUUUAGAAAUGCCCGCAUUUUUCAGAAAUGAUUUUUUCACUAUUUCAAAAAUGCCCGCAUUUCCAAAAUAAUGUUCUCAAAAUUUUUAAAAUGUUCGCAAUUUUCAAAAUUAUUUAUGAAUUCCAAAACAUUUACAUUCCUACAAAAUUUUCAAAAUCACAUUUACUUUUUCAUGUUUUCCAAAAAUGAUCAAAUUUCAAAAAAUGACCGUCUUCCAAAAGAGUGUUCAUUUUUCAAAUAAAUUGUUUCCUGAGUUUUUCUUAAAGAAAAAGGACAGGAAAAAAAAUGGAAAACAUAAAACCCACUAGAAAAAAUCAAUAUGGUGUCCAAGCCGCAACAACACCCAGUCUACCUAAUCGCUGGACUCGACCUUGUCGCUACAUCAGGAGCGCUAAAUGGGUCGGCCUGCUUGCUCGCUACCUAUGCGAAAGGUCGACCAUUUGACGUAGUUAGUGUCAAAUAGGACCUCCUGAGAUGCAUUUCCGGCCGGUGAAGCUGAUGUAACUUUUUUUGGAAAACAUACUCCACUUUAUUGAUCAAUAAUGAAGCUUACAGGAAUAACGAGAUAACAUGCGGUUUUAUAAACCAUACAUGGCUCCCGUCUCCUAAUGCAGAGCAUGUUUCGCUAAAUUGCAUGCCUCCAUAUUGGAGAGACGACCCUCAUGAACGAAAGAGCAAGAUUCAAACACCUUCAAGUUGAUGCAUCCCUGUUUGCGUCUACUCUGUUGUUGGUUGUGACAUAUCGAGAGCCGACAAAAAUAUGAAUAUAAAAAUAUGAGUGGCCAGAGGAAUUUGGUUCAUGUAUCACUUACGACAUGAAUACCAUAUCGCCCAGAGUGCAAUGGCUAGCUUGGUGAACUCCACAUGUGGUGAAGAAUCAAUCAUGGAGAAGAUCCAACUUCUCGCAUCAGGCUCCGUCAUUGCAAGGAUAUGAUCCAGCAAUUUCUGAACUGGACAACGCCCAUACACAUCAAGCCACAUGGAAUUAGAGAAUGCAUCCACUAGUCCUCGGCUCCGCAAAUCACCCGACAUGAGUGGAUGCCAUAUUUGUAUUAUUAAAUAUAUCGAUCGUGAGCAGCGAACACUGGAAAAGCCUCCACAGGAAGACCUUCAAUUUAGAGGGGACCUUAACCCGCCAAAAUUUAUCCAGGCCUUUUGUUCUCUAGCAUUAUUUGAUGCACUAGAACGACCAUCAAGCCAUGCUUCUCGGUCAUCUUGGUCAUGAUCAAUAUCCUAUAGGCUGGCCAAACUGUGAAUUCCCCCUUCUUCUUAUGGCCCCAUGCCCAAAAAUCUGAAAUUUAUCCGGUACUUAGUGGAAUGUUUAAAAUUGGGUCGGCAUCAAUCAGCAAGAAAACAUCUCAAACUACCUCUUGUUUCCAUCUGAGAGAUAUCAUUAGUUAACUCACUAACAAGCUGAGGCCGGCCGGGUCACAAGAAAACUAUAGGGCGCGUAGCAUAGUCACAUGGGAUCCUGUUGUGUUGCCAUAUUUCUGUUGUUUUCCCAUCCCCUAUGCGUCGAUCAAACCAUUCUUCACCAUCUCCAUAGUCAAUUUACCAUCUGGAGCUGAAUUGCUAAGUGACACAAAAGGUGUGUUCCAACUAUCACGCAAGGAACUCAGCAACAACAAUGUUUGCACCUUACUCAAAGUUGUUCUUCGUGACUGAGAGUUGAUUUAUAUGGUACUGAAAGACAUUCAAGUGAUCAAUCACACUAAUGCCAUCUCGGUACUCAAGCUUUGCAAGUCCUUUGAUUAUCGAGGCCUUGUUCACGGAUGUCUUCCUCUGAUACAUAUACUUCAAUUUCUACCAUAUCUCAUAUGCACUUUAUUCAUUUGCAACAUGGUGGAAUAUAUUAUGACUGAUGUAAAGACGAAUUAUACCUAUUGCCUUUCUGCACACACUCCCCAUUCUUCUUCCAUGUCACCUAUGGGUAUAUUAUCUUUCACAAUUGACUCAUAGAAAUCAUUGCAAUAAAGGAUGUCUUCCAUCAUGGGCUUCCGUAAUGAAUAAUUGGGAGGAUCAAGUUUUAUCAUGCCACGUAUCAUAACGCUUUCUUCCAAAGCCAUUGUGAGCAAAACUUCCAGCAACAAUCAACAAACCGGGAUUGAAAAACCUCUUGAGCAACCAAAGCUCUGAUAACACUCUGUUGGAAAUUAGCACAUGCUUGAUGAUGAUCUCAUAAACUACAGCAAAACAAAGUAACUUCAGCACCACCUCUAUGCACUAAUUCACGAAUCAUUUCUCAAACACGGAAAGAAACAUGCACAUCAACAUAUAGGGUAAGUUUGGUCACCCAAAACUUAGAACCAAACUAAACACUUCUUUUGAAUUUUCCAGUCCAAUGCUACACAUCAGACAUCCAUACUCAGAUAUGUUUGGUGCUAGGCAAACCACAUAGAACAACAACAGAAAUCAACACACCAAUUCUUACGUAAACAAAACUCUGAAUUGGGGUAAAACCACUAGCCGAAGCCAACACAACAAUUUCUUCUCUAUAUAGCACCGGAGUCUCUCAUAUACAUCAAGAUUUCGCUAUCUUGGAUGAUAACAACAAGAUUUGUGGCUCAGGAGCUAGGAAUUGAAACAAUCUCAUCAAAGACGGUAGAAUCACAGAUUGAAGGAGACAUGGUAGUGUAUCUGGACUUCACAGCCUUGGAAACGAGAUCACAUUGUUUGGUGGCAAGCUCUUACUUCAAUCUCCCUCCCUUUCCCUUUCUCUCUUGGUUUUCUCUUCUUCUUCUCCAAUUGAGGCUAUCCUGAUUUUUGCCACCCUUGGUGGUAGUUACUGGAUAGGAGGCUUAACCUCUCCCUUUUCCCUUGUGAAACACUAAAAUGACCCUAUGUCACAACCCUAAUGCGCAGUGAGUUUUUACAUAGCUGUUAGGCCACCUAAAGGCUUCAAUUUGCCAUCUCCUCACAUCCCACACUAGGAGGAUAUCCCAACACACUAGAUAGUGCAAAAUGGGAUCGAUGGCAUAUGAUACACCAUUGAAUACAAUUUUUAUGCGUCACUGACAUGUGGAGUGGAGGAGGGUGAUAGGUGCAUAACGUAAGCCCGAGUUACUGAAAGUAUCUAAAACUUCCUCCUUACUUUUUGCUCCGGAUCAAUCAUGUGUUAUAGAUACUUAUGAGCUUUCUCCGCCCUACUAUGGACACUUCUCUUUCGUAGGAGCUUCUUCAGAAAUAUCUGAAACUUAGCUGCCUCACAGAAAUAGUUGUGGAAAGAAGCCUACGGGAUUACAGUUAUGUUCUUUUUGGCUUAUCUCCCCUUAGCUUUUUCCAAUUUUUUGAUGAAAACUUUAUAAUGCUCCUAGAUUGUAACUGUGCGAUGUUUAACUUAUACACAUGAUUGAUAUGGCAGUAGGCACCUUAUGCCAACUCUAGACGAUCCCCUAUCCGGCUAUAGAGGAGUACAAUUUCGGUUUUACUACUCUAUGUCGCACCUAGCCGAACUCCUAAAAUCUACAAGGGAGUAUAAUUUUUACUCCCCCGCCAAAAAUACCCUCCAAGCCGCCUAAAUAUACUUGGCGCUUGCACGGUCGAGUAAAAGUUGUGUGCCUCUUUCUCCCGCCCUCGUGGCUCCGUCGUUCCCGUCGCUGCCGCCUCACGCGCCUUUGUCACCACCGAUGACCGGCCCCGUCACCGGAAUGGACAGCUAAGACCCUUCCGUGUUGGGGAACGUAGCAGAAAUUCAAAAUUUUCUACGCAUCACCAAGAUCAAUCUAUGGAGUAACCUAGCAACGAGGGGAAGGGGAGUGCAUCUACAUACCCUUGUAGAUCGCGAUGCGGAAGCGUUGCAAGAACGCGGAUGAGGGAGUCGUACUCGUAGCGAUUCAGAUCGCGGUUGAUUCCGAUCUAAGCACCGAAGAACGGUGCCUCCGCGUUCAACACACGUGCAGCCCGGUGACGUCUCCCACGCCUUGAUCCAGCAAGGAGAGAGGGAGAGGUUGGGGAAGAAUCCAUCCAGCAGCAGCACGACGGCGUGGUGGUGAUGGAGGAGCGUGGCAAUCCCGCAGGGCUUCGCCAAGCACCGCGGAAGAGGAGGAGGAGGGAGAGGGGUAGGGCUGCGCCGAAAGAGAGACGUUCUCAUGUUUCUUGGGCAGCCCAAACCUCAACUAUAUAUAGGGGGUGAGGGGGCUGCGCCCCCCUCUAGGGUUCCCACCCCAAGAGGAGGCGGCCAGCCCUAGAUCCCAUCCAAGGGGGGCGGCCAAGGGGAGGAGAGGGGGGGCGCCACUAGGGUGGGCCUUAAGGCCCAUCUGGACUAGGGUUUGCCCCCUCCCACUCUCCCAUGCGCCUUGGGCCUUGGUGGGGGGGCGCACCAGCCCACCUGGGGCUGGUCCCCUCCCACACUUGGCCCACGCAGCCUUCUGGGGCUGGUGGCCCCACUUGGUGGACCCCCGGGACCCUCCCGGUGGUCCCGGUACAUUACCGAUAUCACCCGAAACUUUUCCGGUGACCAAAACAGGACUUCCCAUAUAUAAAUCUUUACCUCAGGACCAUUCCGGAACUCCUCGUGACGUCCGGGAUCUCAUCCGGGACUCCGAACAACAUUCGGUAACCACGUACAUGCUUUCCCUAUAACCCUAGCGUCAUCGAACCUUAAGCGUGUAGACCCUACGGGUUCGGGAACCAUGCAGACAUGACCGAGACGUUCUCCGGUCAAUAACCAACAGCGGGAUCUGGAUAUCCAUGUUGGCUCCCACAUGUUCCACGAUGAUCUCAUCGGAUGAACCACGAUGUCGGGGAUUCAAUCAAUCCCGUAUUCAAUUCCCUUUUGUCUAUCGGUAUGUUACUUGCCCGAGAUUCGAUCGUCGGUAUCCCGAUACCUUGUUCAAUCUCGUUACCGGCAAGUCUCUUUACUCGUUCCGUAACUCACAUCAUCCCGUGAUCAACUCCUUGGUCACAUUGUGCACAUUAUGAUGAUGUCCUACCGAGUGGGCCCAGAGAUACCUCUCCGUUUACACGGAGUGACAAAUCCCAGUCUCGAUUCGUGCCAACCCAACAGACACUUUCGGAGAUACCUGUAGUGCACCUUUAUCGUCACCCAGUUACGUUGUGACGUUUGGUACACCCAAAGCAUUCCUACGGUAUCCGGGAGUUGCACAAUCUCAUGGUCUAAGGAAAUGAUACUUGACAUUAGAAAAGCUCUGAGCAAACGAACUACACGAUCUUGUGCUAGGCUUAGGAUUGGGUCUUGUCCAUCACAUCAUUCUCCUAAUGAUGUGAUCCCGUUAUCAACGACAUCCAAUGUCCAUGGUCAGGAAACCGUAACCAUCUAUUGAUCAACGAGCUAGUCUCCUAGAGGCUUACUAGGGACAUGGUGUUGUCUAUGUAUCCACACAUGCAUCUGAGUUUCCUAUCAAUACAAUUCUAGCAUGGAUAAUAAACGAUUAUCAUGAACAAGGAAAUAUAAUAAUUACCUAUUUAUUAUUGCCUCUAGGGCAUAUUUCCAAUAGUCUCCCACUUGCACUAGAGUCAAUAAUCUAGUUCACAUCACCAUGUGAUUAACACUGACAGGUCACAUCACCAUGUGACCAACAUCCAAAGAGUUUACUAGAGUCAACAAUCUAGUUCACAUCAUUAUGUGAUUAACACUCAAUGAGUUCUGGUUUGAUCAUGUUAUGCUUGUGAGAGAGGUUAUUAGUCGACGGGUCUGAACCUUUCAGAUCCGUGUGUGCUUUACGAAUAUCUAUGUCAUCUUGUGGAUGCUACCACGCGCUAUUUGGAGCCAUUUCAAAUAAUUGCUCUACUAUACGAAUCCGGUUUACUACUGAGAGUCAUCCGGAUUAGUGUCAAAGUUCGCAUCGACGUAACCCUUUACGACGAACUCCUUUUCACCUCCAUAAUCGAGAAAAUUCCUUAGUCUACUAGAUACUAAGGAUAAGUUCGACCGCUGUCAUGUGAUCCAUUCCCGGAUCACUAUUGUACCCCUUGACCAACUCAUGGCAAGGCACACUUCAUGUGCGGUACACAGCAUAGCAUACUGUAGAGUCUACGUCUGAAGCAUAGGGGACGACCUUCGUCCUUUCUCUCUCUUCUGCUGUGGUCAGGUCUUGAGUCUUACUCAAUACUCACACCUUGUAACACAGCCAAGAACUCCUUCUUUGUUGAUCUAUUUUGAACUCUUUCAAAAUCAUGUCAAGGUGUGCGUUCUUUGAAAGUAUCAUCAGGCGUCUUGAUCUAUCUCUAUAGAUCUUGAUGCCCAAUAUGUAAGCAGCUUGAUCCAGGUCUUCCUUUGAAAAACUCCUUUCAAACAACCCUUUAUGCUUUCCAGAAAUUUUACAUCAUUUCGGAUCAACAAUAUGUCAUUCACAUAUACUUAUCAGAAAUGUUGUAGCGCUCCCACUCACUUUAUUGUAAAUACAAGUUUCUAACAAACUUUGUAUAAACCCAAAAACUUUGAUAACUCCAUCAAAGCGUAUAUUCUGACUCCGAGAUGCUUGCUCUAAUCCAUGGAAGGAUCGCUGGAGCUAGCAUACCUUUUAGCAUCCUUAGGAUCGACAAAACCUUUCUGAUUGUAUCACAUACAACCUUUCCUUACGAAAACUGGCAAGGAAACUUGUUUUGACAUCCAUCUGCCAGAUUUCAUAAAUGCAGCUAAUGCUAACAUGAUUCCGACGGACUUUAAGCAUCGCUACGGAUGAGACAAUCUCAUCGUAGUCAACUCCUUGAACUUGUGGAAAUACUCUUAGCCACAAGUCGAGCUUCAUAGACGGUAACAUUACCGUCCAUGUCCGUCUUCUUCUUAAAGAUCCAUUUAUCUCGGAUUUCAUGGCUUCUAACCAUUUGUCGGAAUAUGGGCCCACCAUCGCUUCUCCAUAGCUCGUAGGAUCAUUGUUGUCUAACAACAUAGCUUUCAAGACAGGAUCACGUACCACUCCGAAGUAGCACGCAUCCUCGUCGUCCUACGAGGUUUGGUAGUGACUUGAUCCGAAGUUUCAUGAUCACUAUCAUAAGCUUCCACUUCAAUUGGUGUAGGUGCUACAUGAACAACUUCCUGUGCCCUGCUACACACUAGUUGAAGUGACGGUUCAAUAACCUUAUCAAGUCUCCACCAUCCUCCCACUCAAUUCUUUUGAGAGAAACCUUUCCUCGAGAAAGGACAUGUUUCUAGAAGCAAUUACUUUUGCUUCCAGAUCUGAAAUAGGAGGUAUACUCAACUGUUUUGGGUAUUCUAGAAGAUGCAUUUAUCCGCUUUGGGUUCGAGCUUAUCAGCCUGAAACUUUUUCACAUAAGCAUCGCAGCCCCAAACUUUUAAGAAACGACAACUUAGGUUUCUCUAAACGGUGUCGUCUCAGCGGAAUUGCGUGGUGCCCCUUUUUAAAGUGAAUGCGGUUGUCUCUAAUGCCUAACCCAUAAACGAUAAUGAUAAUUCGAUAAGAGACAUCAUGGUAUGCACCAUAUCCAAUAGGGUGCAGUUAUGAUGUUCGGACACACCAUCACACUAUGGUGUUCCAGACGGUAUUAAUUGUGAAACACUUUCCACAAUGUCUUAAUUGUGUGCCAAACUCGUAACUCAGAUAUCUCUAUGAUCAUAUCACAGACAUUUUAUCCUCUUGUCACGACGAUCUUCAACUUCACUCUGAAAUUACUUGAACCUUUCAAUAAUUCAGACUUGUGUUUCAUCAAGUAAAUACACUCAGCAUCUACUCAAAUCAUCUGUGAAGUAAGAACAUAACGAUAUCCACUGCAUGCCUCGGCACUCAUUGGACUGCAUACAUCAAAAUGUAUUACUUCCAAUAAAUUGCUCUCUUGUUCCAUCUUACUGAAAAUGAGGCCUUUCAGUCAUCUUGCCCAUGUGGUAUGAUUUGCAUGUCUCAAGUGAUUCAAAAUCAAGUGAGUCCAAACGAUCCAUCUGCAUGGAGUUUCUUCAUGCAUAUAUACCAAUAGACAUGGUUCGCAUGUCUCAAUCUUUUCAAAACGAGUGAGUCCAAAGAUCCAUCUACAUAGAGCUUCUUCAUGCGUUCUAUACCAAUAUGACUCAAAUGGCAGUGCCACAAGUAUGUGGUACUAUCAUUACUUUUGGCAUGAACAUGUGUAUCACUACGAUCGAGAUUCAUUUUAGGUGCAAGACCAUUGAAGGUAUUAUUCAAAUAAACAGAGUAACCAUUAUUCUCCUUAAAUGAAUAACCGUAUUGUGAUAAACAUAAUCCAAUCAUGCUCAACGCAAACACCAAAUCUCGAUGGUAGAGGGAGCAUGCGAUGCUUGAUCACAUCAACCUUGGUAACACUUCCAUAUCGUCAUCUCACCUUUAGCUAGUCUCCGUUUAUUCCGCAGCUUUUAUUUCGAGUUACUAACACUUAGCAACCGAACCGGUAUCUAAUACCCUGGUGCUGCUAGGAGUACUAGUAAAGUACACAUUCAUAUAACGUAUAUCCAAUAUACUUCUGUCGACCUUGCCUGCCUUCUCAUCUACCAAGUAUCUAGGGUAGUACUGCUUCAGUGACCGUUCCCCUCAUUACAGAAGCACUUAGUCUCGGGUUUGGGUUCAACCUUGGGAUUCUUCACUAGAGCAGCAACUGAUUUGCCGUUUCAUGAAGUAUCCCUUCUUGCCCUUGCCCUUCUAGAAACUAGUGGUUUUACUAACCCUCAACAAUUGAUGCUCCUUCUUGAUUUCUACUUUCGCGGUGUCAAACAUCGCGAGUUGCUCAAGGAUCAUCAUGUCUAUCCCUGAUAUGUUAUAGUUCAUCACGAAGCUCUAAUAGCUUGGUGGCAGUGACUAUGGAGAACCAUCACUAUCUCAUCUGGAAGAUCAACUCCCACUCGAUUCAAGUGAUUGUAGUACUCAGAUAAUCUGAGCACAUGCUCAACGAUUGAGCUUUUCUCCCUUAGUUUGCAGGCUUAAGAAACUUGUCAGAGGUCUCAUACCUCUUGACGUGGGCACUAGUCUGAAAUCCCAAUUUCAGUCUUCGGAACAUCUCAUAUGUUCUGCGACGUUUCAAAAACGUCUCUCGUGCCACAAUUCUAAACCAUUAGCAUUACUCACUGAACUAUCACGUAGUCAUCAAAACGUGUAUGUCAGAUGUUUCGCAACAUCUACAGACGACGCUGAGGUUCAGCACACCGAGCGGUGCAUUAAGGACAUAAGCCUUCUGUGCAGCAAUCGAGGACAAUCCUCAGUUUACGGACCCAGUCCGCAUAAUUGCUACUAUCAACUUUCAACUAAAUUUUCUCUAGGAACAUAUCUUAAACAGUAGAACUAAAGCGUAUGACAUAAUUUGCAAAGACUUUUUGACUAUGUUCAUGAUAAUUGAGUUCAUCUGAUUAAUGAACUCCCACUCAGAUAGACAUCCCUCUAGUCAUCUAAGUGAUACAUGAUCCGAGUCAAACUAGGCCGUGUCCGAUCAUCACGUGAGACGGACUAGUCAUCAUCGGUGAACAUCUCCAUGUUGAUCGUAUCUGCUAUACGACUCAUGUUCGACCUUUCGGUCUUUUGUGUUCCGAGGCCAUGUCUGUACAUGCUAGGCUCGUCAAGUCAACCUAAGUGUUUCGCAUGUGUUCCGAGGCCAUGUCUGUACAUGCUAGGCUCGUCAAGUCAACCUAAGUGUUUCGCAUGUGUUCCGAGGCCAUGUCUGUACAUGCUAGGCUCGUCAACACCCGUUGUAUUCGAACGUUAGAAUCUAUCACACCCGAUCAUCACGUGGUGCUUCGAAACAACGAACCUUCGCAACGGUGCACAGUUAGGGGGAACACGUCUCUUGAAAUUUUAGUGAGGGAUCAUCUUACUUACUACCGUCGUUCUAAGCAAAUAAGAUGCAUAACAUGAUAAACAUCACAUGCAAUCAAAUAGUGACAUGAUAUGGCCAAUAUCAUCUUGCUCCUUUGAUCUCCAUCUUCGGGGCACCAUGAUCAUCUUUGUCACCGGCAUGACACCAUGAUCUCCAUCAUCAUGAUCUCCAUCAUUGUGUCUUCAUGAAGUUGUCACGCCAACGAUUACCUCUACUUCUAUGGCUAACGUGCUUAGCAAUAAAGUAAAGUAAUUUACAUGGCGUUAUUCAAUGACACGCAGGUCAUACAAAAAAUAAAGACAACUCCUAUGGCUCCUGCCGGUUGUCAUACUCAUCGACAUGCAAGUCGUGAUUCCUAUUACAAGAAUAUGAUCAAUCUCAUACAUCACAUAUAUCAUUCAUCACAUCUUCUGGCCAUAUCACAUCACAUAGCACAUGCUGCAAAAACAAGUUAGACGUCCUCUAAUUGUUGUUGCAAGUUUUUACGUGGCUUGUAUAGGUUUCUAGCAAGAACGUUUCUUACCUACGUACGACCACAACGUGAUAUGCCAAUUUCUAUUUACCCUUCAUAAGGACCCUUUUCAUCGAAUCCGUUCCGACUAAAGUGGGAGAGACAGACACCCGCUAGCCACCUUAUGCAUCUAGUGCAUGUCAGUCGGUGGAACCUGUCUCACGUAAGCGUACGUGUAAGGUCGGUCCGGGCCGCUUCAUCCCACAAUGCCGCCGAAACAAGAUAAGACUAGUAGCGGCAAGAAGAAUUUGCAACAUCUACGCCCACAACUACUUUGUGUUCUACUCGUGCAUAGAAACUACGCAUAGACCUAGCUCAUGAUGCCACUGUUGGGGAACGUAGCAGAAAUUCAAAAUUUUCUACGCAUCACCAAGAUCAACCUAUGGAGUAACCUAGCAACGAGGGGAAGGGGAGUGCAUCUACAUACCCUUGUAGAUCGCGAUGCGGAAGCGUUGCAAGAACGCGGAUGAGGGAGUCGUACUCGUAGCGAUUCAGAUCGCGGUUGAUUCCGAUCUAAGCACCGAAGAACGGUGCCUCCGCGUUCAACACACGUGCAGCCCGGUGACGUCUCCCACGCCUUGAUCCAGCAAGGAAAGAGGGAGAGGUUGGGGAAGAAUCCAUCCAGCAGCAGCACGACGGCGUGGUGGUGAUGGAGGAGCGUGGCCAUCCCGCAGGGCUUCGCCAAGCACCGCCGGAGAGGAGGAGGAGGGAGAGGGGUAGGGCUGCGCCGAAAGAGAGACGUUCUCAUGUUUCUUGGGCAGCCCAAACCUCAACUAUAUAUAGGGGGUGAGGGGGCUGCGCCCCCCUCUAGGGUUCCCACCCCAAGAGGAGGCGGCCAGCCCUAGAUCCCAUCCAAGGGGGGCGGCCAAGGGGAGGAGAGGGGGGGCGCCACUAGGGUGGGCCUUAAGGCCCAUCUGGACUAGGGUUUGCCCCCUCCCACUCUCCCAUGCGCCUUGGGCCUUGGUGGGGGGGCGCACCAGCCCACCUGGGGCUGGUCCCCUCCCACACUUGGCCCACGCAGCCUUCUGGGGCUGGUGGCCCCACUUGGUGGACCCCCGGGACCCUCCCGGUGGUCCCGGUACAUUACCGAUAUCACCCGAAACUUUUCCGGUGACCAAAACAGGACUUCCCAUAUAUAAAUCUUUACCUCAGGACCAUUCCGGAACUCCUCGUGACGUCCGGGAUCUCAUCCGGGACUCCGAAAAACAUUCGGUAACCACGUACAUGCUUUCCCUAUAACCCUAGCGUCAUCGAACCUUAAGCGUGUAGACCCUACGGGUUCGGGAACCAUGCAAACAUGACCGAGACGUUCUCCGGUCAAUAACCAACAGCGGGAUCUGGAUACCCAUGUUGGCUCCCACAUGUUCCACGAUUAUCUCAUCGGAUGAACCACGAUGUCGGGGAUUCAAUCAAUCCCGUAUUCAAUUCCCUUUGUCUAUCGGUAUGUUACUUGCCCGAGAUUCGAUCGUCGGUAUCCCGAUACCUUGUUCAAUCUCGUUACCGGCAAGUCUCUUUACUCGUUCCGUAACUCACAUCAUCCCGUGAUCAACUCCUUGGUCACACUGUGCACAUUAUGAUGAUGUCCUACUGAGUGGGCCCAGAGAUACCUCUCCGUUUACACGGAGUGACAAAUCCCAGUCUCGAUUCGUGCCAACCCAACAGACACUUUUGGAGAUACCUGUAGUGCACCUUUAUAGUCACCCAGUUACGUUGUGACGUUUGGUACACCCAAAGCAUUCCUACGGUAUCCGGGAGUUGCACAAUCUCAUGGUCUAAGGAAAUGAUACUUGGCAUUAGAAAAGCUCUGAGCAAACGAACUACACGAUCUUGUGCUAGGCUUAGGAUUGGGUCUUGUCCAUCACAUCAUUCUCCUAAUGAUGUGAUCCCGUUAUCAACGACAUCCAAUGUCCAUGGUCAGGAAACCGUAACCAUCUAUUGAUCAACGAGCUAGUCUCCUAGAGGCUUACUAGGGACAUGGUGUUGUCUAUGUAUCCACACAUGCAUCUGAGUUUCCUAUCAAUACAAUUCUAGCAUGGAUAAUAAACGAUUAUCAUGAACAAGGAAAUAUAAUAAUAACAUAUUUAUUAUCGCCUCUAGGGCAUAUUUCCAACAUUCCGCUACCCCACUGGCCACCGGUGUUCGCUUGUCGCCGCCGAAAACCACCCCCGCAUUGCCGCCCACGUCGAAAAAGAGGUUGGGGAUGAAAAGCUCCACCGGCCACAAGCACCGGCUCUAGCCGCACGAAAGGCCGCCGAGGUAGUGACUGCCUCUCUGGCGACGGUCGGCCGCCACUCCCUCCGGUGGCAAGAGAACAAGAAAACUGACGGCCACGGUGUCGACCCUCGUCAAGGAGGCCGCGAAGAAGAAGAAGAAGGCCACUCCGGCACCCCAUCCACGUCUGGCGCCUCGUGCGGCGUCUCCGGCCACCCCUACGGCCACUGCUCCGAAGAGGCCAAUAAUAGAUCGGAAGGGAACAAAAUUGCAAAAGAGAGAAAGAAGAGAAAUGCCUACGGUGUCACAUACAAAGAAGAACUUGUGGCCAUGAUUGAGGCCAAGAUGGUGAUGGCGGACGAACGCAAAGAAGAAAAGAUGGGGAGGUGGAAUGAGCUCAAGAUGUUGGCGGAUGACAAAUGGAAGGCCAGGUUGGCGGCCGGAGAGAUAAAAUUGAAGGCGGGGGAUCAUAGACUUGCACUUGAGGAGGAGAGGUUGUGUGAUGCUAAGAAAGCCUGAGAUCAUGCUAUCAUGUUCAUGAAUCCAAUCANNNNNNNNNNNNNNNNNNNNNNNNNNNNNNNNNNNNNNNNNNNNNNNNNNNNNNNNNNNNNNNNNNNNNNNNNNNNNNNNNNNNNNNNNNNNNNNNNNNNNNNNNNNNNNNNNNNNNNNNNNNNNNNNNNNNNNNNNNNNNNNNNNNNNNNNNNNNNNNNNNNNNNNNNNNNNNNNNNNNNNNNNNNNNNNNNNNNNNNNNNNNNNNNNNNNNNNNNNNNNNNNNNNNNNNNNNNNNNNNNNNNNNNNNNNNNNNNNNNNNNNNNNNNNNNNNNNNNNNNNNNNNNNNNNNNNNNNNNNNNNNNNNNNNNNNNNNNNNNNNNNNNNNNNNNNNNNNNNNNNNNNNNNNNNNNNAUGAUGGUGGGUGGUGGUGGUGGCGGCGGCUCAGAGGACGGUGGUGGUGGCUGUGAUGAUGGUGGCCGAGAGGAUGGUGGUGGUCGUGGUGGCCGUGGUGAUGGUGGCCGAGAGGAUGGUGGUGGUGGUGAAGGUGAUGAUGGUGGCAGAGAGGAUGGUGAUGGUGAUGGCGGUGAUGAUUCUUCGGCGAGGACUUUGUUUGAGUUCGUGCAUGCCAUUGGUUGGCUCGAUCCAUAACAUACACAUGUUAUGUUUGGUGAUUUUGGAUUAAACUUUGUGUUUAAAGUGAUGAGUUUUGGAUGAACUAUGCAUAUUUCAAUUUGAAGAUCGCGAUGAUAAAACUAUAUGUUUGUUUAACGGUUAUGCUAUGCAUGUUUUAAUUUGAAUGUUUAAUGAUAUAUAUUAUGAAGUGUCUGAAGUUCAUGCGGUUAGUACACAAAACCUAUGGGAAAAACUCAUUCUACUAAGUUUAGGGGGGUCGAUUACGUGCGGGCAUCCAUAGAGGAGUAAAAGUUUACUCCACUAACAUUACUCGGCCGGAUCCUUCUCUAUUUUUUGAGGGAUCUGCUAGAGUUGGCCUUAGAAAUGGCGAUAGAUUGAUCAGUGACAUGCAACACAAUGCAAGUAUAUGGAUCCCUUUUGAGAGAAUUUUAUUACUUGACAUGAUAUGUCUGUUACAAAUGACCAGGCAGGCAUAACCCGAGAAGAAAUCCCAGCCGGCAACAUGUAUAUAAUGGAUACCGUUUUCGUUGCAUAUCGGUUCAGCUUUUCACACGCAGAUUAAGAGAUACCAAUACACACGCACUCACGCGCACGCAUGCACCAGAUGGAGCAUGCACUCAUCAACCACUCGGUCCAUCUACACAAUAAUGAUGACCUGCAGCAUAGGCUUCCGUUUCUGUAUUUAGCGCAGAAGGAGCAAGAAAGGCACGGCGAAGAAGAGGAGCGGCGCUGCGCGUGCGGCCACACCAACUCCGCCCACUCCCAACCACCUCAUCCUCGCCGCCGCGUUCUUCUGUGCGCCCGUGCUCGGCGCACUCGACGCGCCACCUGGAGAUCACAUCACAUCACAUCAACCACGUUAUUUAGCUCCAAAUUCCAAAGAGCAAACCGUCAAUCAAAUGACAAUCAUCGCUACUGGUUGAAAAUCUUUAGAAGACUAUACUAGUGUGUUAUGCCGAUCUUUAAUUAGUUGAUGCUACAGGUUUAUGCCGUGCAGUGAUAUGUCUUCCAUGCUUUUGGAGGCAUGCUAGAUUGCUAUUACGUACUACUAGCUAACGUCACAUGACACUCCUACUUCAGCACUGUUGGGCUGGUUCUAGCACAUAAAUUUCGCACGUCGCGUCAGGCUCCAACGCCGAGCGGCACUGCUGUCCAGUAGCGGUCCUACAGUUUCUUUUGGCUUUCGUCAAAUUAAUUGUAAUUAGAUUGUUGGCGAUGUUAAUCUGCAUCAAUCACUUCACAAUUAUUAAGUCUCAGCUGAUCAACUCGACUGAACGGGUGCAUGCACAUCAUCAUUAUGCGUCUGCACUAUACAACUCCCUUCUUCAACGGGAACAAUUGUCCGUUUCCUAUUCCUUUUUUAUUUAAAUCCUUGUAAAAUAAUCAAUUGAUAGGAGGAGAAUAACUCACUUGGGCUGCUCUGGGCUGCCUGCUGCUUGGCAAACUGCUCGAAGACCUCCGCGUCCUUGGAAUUGGGCGGCAGGUUCAGUAGCCCUGUAAACGAAACGUUGAAUCCACAACAAGAGCACACUUUGUUAAUUAUACCAGCAAACAAAAUGAGCUUACAACUUUCCCGCAGCGCUAUAAAUCCUACCCCUAGUCCUAGUACUAAAAGGUUAUCAUGUGAUAAUGUAAUUCUUUCAUGUCAUGCAUGAACAAUGAUCACAUGUCAACGACUGCAACGCUCGUACCUACGGCGUUUAACCGGUGAUCAUCGCCAAGGUACUAAACAACUUUUCUUCUUCUUGCGGGGUUACAAAUAGCGACACAUGCAUCUCAACUACACUCACAAUGUUGGUAUCUCAUAAAGACAGGAUAUUCUUUCUAUGGGAAACGACGUUCCCGUCGAUAGUGAGGCGUCUGUGAUGCGUCAAUCUCAAGACCCGUCAGCUCACUCUCUCGGAGAUGCUCAUAGGGAUAAGGGUAUAUGCAUGUAAGUUCAUCAGGAUGAGUAUAUGUAUAUGUUUAUUAGCGUACGCAUUGUUUUUUUAAGCUACACAAUACCCGUCGUUAGUGAGGGGUGUGGCAACAGCAUUCAUGGACCGCAUAGGGAAAUGUUGAUAGGCCGCUAAUUUGGACGCUCCCGGUGGUGGGCGAGAUAUUUUCCUCCUCUUCCCGUGUAGACACUGGUCACUGGUGGAGCGUCGGCGUGACCAUCCCGGGCUCUGCCCCCGCCCCUCCCCUUCCAUGAGAAACUCGGCAUCGUCCUGCUGCUAAUAUCGCUUCUAAUCCCCCGGCUUUGCUAAUCUUCAUGGCUAUAUCUUGUUUGUGAUCCCGUUUAGCCCCCGCUUGAUUUUGCUUCACGCUCCGCCACUGGUGUAACCCCCAUGUUCUAUUCGAAAAAGAAAAAAAAAACAUGUUCUAACACGUUGCUACCAGCAUAUCGCGGUCGAGCACGUACAAAUUACGGGUCUAGAAAGCGUGUUUCUACAAGCAUAUCUUUUAAUGUGGGUGCUGCUUUAAGCGGUGGUGGCGUUUGAAACUGAAGCACAUCAUCAUGAUCCCACUAACAUCAACCAAGUGCAUCUACUCCGUAUGAGCAUGAACGCGGUUGCUACUUCUCUUGCCAUAUGAUACGAUGAUACAUAUCGUUCCAGAUUCUUUCAUAGUAGCAGUCCGUAGUGCUUGAGCUUUAAGGGUCGAGGACGUACUUGGGCAGUCGGAGAUGUUGGCGGGCGCGCUGCAGGCGGCGGGGAGGCCGAGCGCCCUCGUGACGUUGAGCUUCAAGUCCAGGCCGGGAUCGUCGCGGUCCUUGACGAGCACGCACAGGCACUUGGGGCUGGUCUGCAGCACCGUCUUCAGCCCCCCGCAGCAGUCCGGCGUCGGCGCCUGCCCCUGCCCCUGCACGAACGUCAGGCACGUCGCCAGCGCCACCAGCUUGUCGGAGCACUCCGCCCGGUCCGCCGCGACGUCCGCCCCCGCCGCCGCCACGGCCAUGGCCAGCACGGCCGCGACAAGAAAGACUCUCGAACCCAUAUGGAAGCUUAGCUACGAGGUAGUACUGAAACCAGGGUUGACGGUGCUCGCAGGUCGCAGGGCUUGGAGGGGAGACGGUGGUUAAAUAGGGGCCGGGCGCGUACGAACGAGCUGAGUGCGCGAUGGUGCGUUGCGCCUGUGGCGUGGUGUAGUGGUGUGGCGGGGUCGGCAAGCGUGCGGGACAGCAGGAGGUGGCCUAGGGCUUCCGCUUAAUCUCCGGCCUAAUCCUCUACUAAUCUUCCUUUGAAUUUCUCGGGAAAAGAAAAACGGUGCACACCGGUAAACUGGCUCAUGUGCGUACCGGAGGUCUGUCCUCCCGAUGGAUCGCACGGAAGAGAUGGAAAUGAGCAUGCUAGCACAAACAAGCCAGUAGAGGCACGACCGAAGCGCAUGAGAGCAUCUACAGCCCGAAGCGCCCAAACCCGCCAAAAUUCCCGGAUGGACGAUCUGAUCAAUGACCGAUAAAAAAAAUUAAUACAUACAUGCGCCGUAAACGGGUCUCAAACGUCUGAACUCACCGGCACCUCACAUAUCCAGCCUAGGGAUGCCCGAGCAGGUCCGAACCCGACAGGCCUACCCUCUACCUGUAGGAUCCAUUUGCUCUCCUGUCUUCUUCCUCCUCCGUGCCGGACGUCUCGCAGCUCCGACGCUACCCUUGCUCCCCAAUUGUUCCAAGCCUCUACGCCGCCAGAACUGGCAUGGCAAUCCUCUUUCCCGUGCUCGCCAUCGUGGACAUCGUCAUCAGCCCGGACGCCACUGCGGUACGUCCGGCAACUCUCGAGCUACCCCUUGCGCUCUAUGUGUUCGACAGAAUGUCCGACCCGGUUUUUUGUGAUUUAUUGGUAGGGAAAGCCAUGAAUUCUGAUGCUUUGUCGGACGACGAGUAUGGACCGACGGAACUUGAUAAAAUGAUUGAAGCUGAGUUCUUUGAUUGGAUUCGGACAAAGAAGUGGACAUGAUCAUGCUCAUGAGCAUGCAAGAGGAAAUGGACCCGCAGGUGGAGCAUAUUCUGAACUUCAAGGGCUCAAUCAAAGGAAGAAGAGGGAUCAAUCGGGGCAGGGUCUCCAGAGCACGGCUACUGCACAAGGACUACUUUGCUCCAAACCCAACUUUUCUGGAUGAUCCAUGGUUUCAUCGCCGUUUUGGCAUGCAGAAACCAUUGUUUUUGCGCAUUGUGGAGGGAGUGGAGGCACACGACGACUACUUCCAACUCAGAAGGGAUUGUUGCGGCCAACUUUAUUUUUCUGAUAAGCAGAAAUGCACGACUGCUCUGAGGAUACUUGCACCUGGUACUUCCACAGAUGUCGUUGAUAAGAUGAUCCAAAUGGGGGAUAGCACAUGCCUGAAAACUAAUGUCAAGUUUGCCCGCGCCAUGGUGCAGGUGUUUGGAGCAGAGUAUUUGAGAGAACUCAAUGUACAGGAUACAUAAAAGUUGUUGGUUAUUGGAGAGGCCAGAGAGUUCCAGGAAUACUCGGCUCAAUUGAUCGUAUGCAUUGGCAAUGGAAGAACUGCCCAAAAGUUUGCGGGGAAUAUAUCAAGGUCACACCAAAGAGGCUACCAUCAUACUGAAAGCAGUGGCAUCACAUGACUUAUGAAUUUGACAUGCUUUCUUUGGAGUGUCGGGUUCUCACAACGACAUCGAUGUGCUUCAAUGAUCUCCCGUGUUUAGGAGGUGCUUCAGUGAUCUCCCGUGUUUAGGAGGCUUUGUAAUUAGGAAUCACCGCCGUGCAACUACACUGUCAAGGGCCGUGACUACAACAUGGGAUACUCUUGCCGAUGGCAUCUAUUCUUAGAGGUCGGCAUUUGUGAUGACCAUAUUCGAACCACACGACAGCAAACAAAGCCAUUUUGCGACAAUGCAGGAAGCAGCUAGAAAGGAUGUAGAGAGGGCAUUCGAAGUGCUUCAACCUCGUUGGGGAAUUGUUCGUGGAGCUACAAUGAUGUGGGAAUCAAAAACUUUGUGAUAGCUGAUGACAUGUUGUGUUAUUUAGUACAAUAUGAUUGUAGAGUAUGAGGAUGAUGGUAUUGUCCAAAACAAUAAUUUUGAAGCGCAUGGAGAAAAAAUUCAAAUCCCCGAAGAACAAGAUGCAAAUCAGUUUAUGAACUUUCUGCAAAUGCAUCACAAUCUUCGAGAUCAUCGGGUGCAUGCACAGCUACACAAUAAUCUUAUGGAGCAUAUGUGGACCCACAAUGGAAACCAGUGGACUAAUGCUUGAGUUGUGCACUUAAAAUAAAUUUAUGUAAAAACUAUGCAUUUUUGUACCAACAUCUGUUAUUUACGUGCGACAUUGACAUGUAUGAUGAACGCGCAUGGAUUUGAGAGUCUGCAUUUGAGGUAUGUUGCUGACGGGCACAAGAUAUGAGGGGUGGUCUAAAUGCAUCCACAGAUGUGCUUGGACACGUCCGCGAACAUAUAGAGGGCGGAUUUGACAAGUCCGCCUGUAGAUGCUCUAACAAACGCAAAUACCAGUAACAUGUAAUUCGCCAUAUACUAGACAGAUUUAUUUUUUCAUGCUGGUCUAUAAAAAACAGAAAAAAAAAUCGCAAAAAACUAACAGCAUCAUGUCACCGCAAAACAUGAUGAACCAAUCACGACGCACGUACUGAUCGUUCGUAAAUGAAGUCACCGUAGCUGUUACAGAAGUCGUGUUGUUAACGACAACGUUGGUGAAACCGGUCAAAGGAGACAGCGGCGGAGAUGACUAUGAGACGUUGCCUGACUUGGCAGAAAGAUGCAUGACUCGCGGUGAUGACCAUGAAAAGUCAUGUGUGGCGCUUUAAAAGAAACUAAUUUCUGAUCAUAUCUUAGCAUUGUGCAGUCGCACCACUUUUCCUGAUCUGAUGUGCUGGACGACCAUUUUGCCAACGCCUAAUGUCUUCUGAUGGCUCUGCCAUAUCUCAACUUCAGUCUAGGUUUGGCUUUUGAGGCGUUCAUUUGGAAGCAAUUCAGAGUUCCCAUCAAUCACUUUGAAGGUGACAAUUUCAAAGGUUUUCCGCUGGUACACGAUCCAAACUCCAACCGAAAGAAAACUUGGUAAAUCUCGUUGUGCAAUCUUGUAUUGGUGGGCAUUCUUCUCGUUUCAAAUCGAAGUCUCAAGAAUUGGUAUUUUAAGUUCUCGGUCCACUCUCAUGAGGUGGACUUUUCUAUCAACAAAGUGGGCAAUAUUCCUAACGAUUUAUUCAAUUUGAUUUUUCUCCUUUGGGGUUUGGAUGAUCCAGAUGCUAAGUUUGAUUUCUAGUGUUUUCAAAGUGAAUUUGAUAAAGGAUGGGCAGUGGUUUCUAGGUCUAAGGCUUGUACUCCCUCCAGUCUCUUAUACAAGGCCACUAUGAAAAAUACAUUUUGCAUCUAUACAAGGCCACUAACAGUAACCGAGGCAAAAUUAAUGAUGUUUUCUCGUACUAGCAACUUAUUGAAUACUUGCAUGCAUGUAGUCAUAAUGACACUAUGCUACUUCCUUCUCAUUCCUUCCUUGCAUGCAUGCGGUCGUAUUAAUGAUCCCGGUUAACGAGAAAAAAGUUGACAUGGAAAGCAUUCAUUAAAUUUUACCUUGGUACCUGUAAUUUAAGUUUGUGGCCUUGUAUAAGGGAAUGGAGGGAGUAGUUCCUAUGAAGAUGUGGUAAGUUCCUAGAUUUUUCCAUGAUCAGAUCUUGGCUUCUAGAUCAAACUAAUAUUUAGCGAAUUUGAUUUAUGAACGUCUCGGUGGCCAUCAUAUUUCAGUUUCAUCGGUCUUAACUGCCCCCAACAACAACGCCUUAGGCAGGGCGGGAUCUAAGAGUUUUCAAAACUCUAAUUCGAAUGCUCCAAGGCCCCGACCUGCUUCUCUUGGUCUGGACGAUGCCCAUAAUAGAGACUUAUGUGUGUGGUGUUUGGACUUUGGUCAUUUGAGCCCUAGCUACCGAAAUCGAAUCAAAUGCAGGGGUUGCAAAUGGCGGGGCCAUGCUUUUGUCAGUUGCCAAUUCAAGAAUGGUUAUUCUGUGAUUAUCAUUUUGGCUUCCUCCUUGGCUGCUCCUAAUCAAGCUAUUGUUCCCAGAUUAUGACUAAUGGGAGUAAUCAACAGUAGUUGCCCCUGCCAGCGAUGAAUAGAGCCGUUCUAGACCGAUUGCAAAGUGAGUUGAGGUUGGUUACUAUAAGAUACCUACUAGCACCACACUCUGUCCCCAUUCAUCGGCUCCCCCGCUCCCCUCCUCCAGAGCAAUCUCUCCGGUGAGCUCGCCGAUGGUGACCUUACCCUUUGUCUAUGCGCCAUUCCUCCCGGCGGGCUUCCAUGCGACUAAGGUGGAAAUGUUGGGAACGUAGUAAUUUUAAAAAAAAUUCUAUGCACACAUAGGAUCAUGGUGAUGCAUAGCAACGAGAGGGGAGAGUAUUGUCCACGUACCCUCGUAGACCGAAAGCGGAAGCGUUAGCACAACACGGUUGAUGUAGUCGUACGUCUUCACGAUCCGACCGAUCCAAGUACCGAACGUACGGCACCUCCGAGUUCAGCACACGUUCAGCUCGAUAACGUCCCGCGAACUCUGAUCCAGCAGAGCUUCACGGGAGAGUUCUGUCAGCACGACGGCAUGGUGACGGUGAUGAUGUUGCUACCGACGCAGGGCUUCGCCUAAGCACCGUUACGAUAUGACCGAGGUGGAAUAUGGUGGAGGGGGCACCGCACACGGCUGGAAUAGAUCAACAGAUCAACUUGUGUGUCUAGAGGUGCCCCCUGCCCCCGUAUAUAAAGGAUCAGGGGGAGGAGGCCGGCGGCCAGGAGGAGGGCGCGCCAGGCAGGAGUCCUACUCCCACUGGGAGCAGGACUCCCUCUUUUCCUAGUUGGAGUAGGAGGGGGAAAGGAAGGGAAGGAGAGAGGGGGAAGGAAAGGGGCCCCCCCCCUCCUUGUCCAAUUCGAACUAGUGGGGGAGGGGGCGUGCGGCCAGCCCAAGCCGCCCCUCCUCUUCUCCACUAAGGCCCAUCUUGGCCCAUUAAGCUCCCCAGGGGGUUCCGGUAACCCCCCGGUACUCCGGUAUAUGUCCGAAACUCCCCGAAACCAUUCCGGUGUCCGAACAUAGUCAUCCAAUAUAUCGAUCUUUAUGUCUCGACCAUUUCGAGACUCCUCGUCAUGUCCGCGAUCACAUCCGGGACUCCGAACUACCUUCGGUACAUCAAAACACAAAAACACAUAAUACAAUCGUCAUCGAACUUUAAGCGUGCUGACCCUACGGGUUCGAGAACUAUGUAGACAUGACCGAGACACGUCUCCGGUCAAUAACCAAUAGCGGAACCUGGAUGCUCAUAUUGGCUCCCACAUAUUCUACGAAGAUCUUUAUGAAGGAAAUAUGCCCUAGAGGCAAUAAUAAAGUUAUUAUUUAUUUCCUUAUAUCAUGAUAAAUGUUUAUUAUUCAUGCUAGAAUUGUAUUAACCGGAAACAUAAUACUUGUGUGAAUACAUAGAAAAACAGAGUGACACUAGUAUGCCUCUACUUGACUAGCUCGUUGAUCAAAGAUGGUUAUGUUUACUAGCCAUUGACAUGAGUUGUCAUUUGAUUAACGGGAUCACAUCAUUAGGAGAAUGAUGUGAUUGACUUGACCCAUUCCGGUAGCUUAGCACACGAUCGUUCAGUAUUCUGCUAUUGCUUUCUUCAUGACUUAUACAUGUUCCUAUGACUAUGAGAUUAUGCAACUCCCGUUUACCAGAGGAACACUUUGUGUGCUACCAAACGUCACAACGUAACUGGGUGAUUAUAAAGGUGCUCUACAGGUGUCUCCGAAGGUACUUGUUGGGUUGGUGUAUUUCGAGAUUAGGAUUUGUCACUCUGAUUGUCGGAGAGGUAUCUUUGGGCCCACUCGGUAAUGCACAUCACUAUAAGCCUUGCAAGCAUAGUAACUAAUGAGUUAGUUGCGGGAUGAUGUAUUACGGAAUGAGUAAAGAGACUUGCCGGUAACGAGAUUGAACUAGGUAUUGAGAUACCAACGAUCGAAUGUCGGGCAAGUAACAUACCGAUGACAAAGGGAACAACGUAUGUUGUUAUGCGGUUUGACCGAUAAAGAUCUUCGUAGAAUAUGUGGGAGCCAAUAUGAGCAUCCAGGUUCCGCUAUUGGUUAUUGACCGGAGACAUGUCUCGGUCAUGUCUACAUAGUUCUUGAACCCGUAGGGUCCGCACGCUUAAAGUUUGAUGACGGUUAUAUUAUGAGUUUAUGUGUUUUGAUGUACCGAAGAUAGUUUGGAGUCCCGGAUGUGAUCACGGACAUGACGAGGAGUCUCGAAAUGGUCGAGACAUAAAUAUUGAUAUAUUGAAAGCCUAUAUUUGGAUAUCGGAAGUGUUUCGGGUGAAAUCGGGAUUUUACCGGAGUACCGGGGGUUGCCGGAACCCCCCCCCCCCCGGGGGGUUUAAUGGGCCUACAUGGGCCUUAGUGGAGAAGAGGAGGGGCAGCCAGGGCAAGCCGCGCGCCCCCUCCCCCUCUAGUCCGAAUUGGACAAGGAGGGGGGGCGGCGCCCCCCUUUCCUUCCUCUCUCCCUCCUCCUUCCCCCUUCUCCUACUCCAACUAGGAAAGGAGGGAGUCCUACUCCCGGUGGGAGUAGGACUCCUCCUGGCGCGCCUCCUCCUGGCCGGCCGCCUCUCCCUCCCUUGAUCCUUUAUAUACAGUGGCAGGGGGCACCCCAUAGACACAACAUUUGAUCUCUUAGCCGUGUGCGGUGCCCCCCUCCACCAUAAUCCACCUCGAUAAUAUCGUAGUGGUGCAUAGGCGAAGGCCUGCAUUGGUAGAGCAUCAUCAUCGUCACCACGCCGUCGUGCUGACGGAACUCUCCCUCAAAGCUCGGCUGGAUCGGAGUUCGAGGGACGUCAUCGAGCUGAACGUGUGCUGAACUCGGAGGUGCCGUGCGUUCGGUACUUGAUCGGUCGGAUCGUGAAGACGUACGACUACAUCAACCGCGUUGUGCUAACGCUUCCGCUUUCGGUCCACGAGGGUACGUGGUUAACACUCUCCUCUCUCGUUGCUAUGCAUCACCAUGAUCUUGCGUGUGCGUUGAAUUUUUUUGAAAUUACUACGUUCCCCAACAGUGGCAUCCGAGCCAGGUUUUAUGCGUAGAUGUUAUAUGCACGAGUAGAACACAAGUGAGUUGUGGGCGAUACAAGUCAUACUGCUUACCAGCAUGUCAUACUUUGGUUUGGCGGUAUUGUUGGAUGAAGCGGCCCGGACCGACAUUACGCGUACGCUUACGCGAGACUGGUUCUACCGACGUGCUUUGCACACAGGUGGCUGGCAGGUGUCAGUUUCUCCAACUUUAGUUGAAUUGAGUGUGGCUACGCCCGGUCCUUGAGAAGGUUAAAACAGCACUAACUUGACGAACUAUCGUUGUGGUUUUGAUGCGUAGGUAAGAAUGAUUCUUGCUCAGCCCGUAGCAGCCACGCAAAACUUGCAACAACAAAGUAGAGGACGUCUAACUUGUUUUUGCAUGGCAUGUUGUGAUGUGAUAUGGUCAAGGCAUGAUGCUAUAUUUUAUUGUAUCAGAUGAUCAUGUUUUGUAACCGAGUUAUCGGCAACUGGCAGGAGCCAUAUAGUUGUCGCUUUAUUGUAUGCAAUGCAAUCGCCCUGUAAUGCUUUACUUUAUCACUAAGCGGUAGCGAUAGUCGUAGAAUCAUAAGUUGGCGAGACGACAACGAUGCUAUGAUGGAGAUCAAGGUGUUGCGCCGGUGACGAUGGUGAUCAUGACGGUGCUUCGAAGAUGGAGAUCACAAGCACAAGAUGAUGAUGGCCAUAUCAUAUCACUUAUAUUGAUUGCAUGUGAUGUUUAUCUUUUAUGCAUCUUAUCUUGCUUUGAUUGACGGUAGCAUUAUAAGAUGAUCUCUCACUAAAUUGUCAAGGUAUAAGUGUUCUCCCUGAGUAUGCACCGUUGCGAAAGUUCUUCGUGCUGAGACACCACGUGAUGAUCGGGUGUGAUAGGCUCUACGUUCAAAUACAACGAGUGCAAAACAGUUGCACACGCGGAAUACUCAGGUUAAACUUGACGAGCCUAGCAUAUGCAGAUAUGGCCUCGGAACACUGAGACCGAAAGGUCGAGCGUGAAUCAUAUAGUAGAUAUGAUCAACAUAGUGAUGUUCACCAUUGAACUACUCCAUCUCACGUGAUGAUCGGACAUGGUUUAGUUGAUUUGGAUCACGUGAUCACUUAGAUGAUUAGAGGGAUGUCUAUCUAAGUGGGAGUUCUUAAGUAAUAUGAUUAAUUGAACUUUAAUUUAUCAUGAACUUAGUACCUGAUAGUAUUUUGCUUGUCUAUGUUGAUUGUAGAUAGAUGGCCCGUGCUGUUGUUCCGUUGAAUUAUAAUGCGUUCCUUGAGAAAGCAAAGUUGAAAGAUGAUGGUAGCAAUUACACGGACUGGGUCCGUAACUUGAGGAUUAUCCUCAUUGCUGCACAGAAGAAUUACGUCCUGGAAGCACCGCUAGGUGCCAGACCUGCUGCAGGAGCAACACCAGAUGUUAUGAACAUCUGGCAGAGCAAAGCUGAUGACUACUCGAUAGUUCAGUGUGCCAUGCUUUACGGCUUAGAACCGGGACUUCAACGACGUUUUGAACGUCAUGGAGCAUAUGAGAUGUUCCAGGAGUUGAAGUUAAUAUUUCAAGCAAAUGCCCGGAUUGAGAGAUAUGAAGUCUCCAAUAAGUUCUACAGCUGCAAGAUGGAGGAGAAUAGUUCUGUCAGUGAGCAUAUACUCAAAAUGUCUGGGUAUAACAAUCACUUGAGGAGUUAAUCUUCCGGAUGAUAGCGUCAUUGACAGAAUUCUUCAAUCACUGCCACCAAGCUACAAGAGCUUCGUGAUGAACUAUAACAUGCAAGGGAUGGAUAAGACAAUUCCCGAGCUCUUCGCAAUGCUAAAGGCUGCAGAGGUAGAAAUCAAGAAGGAGCAUCAAGUGUCGAUGGUUAACAAGACCACCAGUUUCACGAAAAAGGGCAAAGGGAAGAAGAAGGGGAACUUCAAGAAAAACAGCAAACAAGUUGCUGCUCAGGAGAAGAAACCCAAGUCUGGACCUAAGCCUGAGACUGAGUGCUUCAACUGCAAACAGACUGGUCACUGGAAGCGGAACUGCCCCAAGUAUUUGGCGGAUAAGAAGGAUGGCAAGGUGAACAAAGGUAUAUGUGAUAUACAUGUUAUUGAUGUGUACCUUACUAAUGCUCGCAGUAGCACAUGGGUAUUUGAUACUGGUUCCGUUGCUAAUAUUUGCAACUCGAAACAGGACUACGGAUUAAGCGAAGAUUGGCUAAGGACGAGGUGACGAUGCGCGUGGGAAAUGGUUCCAAAGUCGAUGUGAUCGCAGUCGGCACGCUACCUCUAUAUCUACCUUCGGGAUUAGUUUUAGACCUGAAUAAUUGUUAUUUGGUGCCAGCGUUGAGCAUGAACAUUAUAUCUGGAUCUUGUUUGAUGCGAGACGGUUAUUCAUUUAAAUCAGAGAAUAAGAUGCAACCGGAAGGUUUUGUCGAUCCAAAGGGAGCUAACAAAGUGUGCAAGCUCCAGCGAUCCAUUUAUGGACUGGUGCAAGCCUCUCGGAGUAGGAAUAAAUGCUUUGAUAGUGUGAUCAAAGCAUUUGGUUUCAUACAAACUUUUGGAGAAGCCUGUAUUUACAAGAAAGUGAGUGGGAGCUGUGUAGCAUUUCUGAUAUUAUGUGUGGAUGAAAUAUUGUUGAUUGGAAAUGAUAUAGAAUUUCUGGAUAGCAUAAUGGGAUACUUGAAUAAGAGUUUUUCAAUGAAGGACCUCGGUGAAGCUGCUUAUAUAUUGGGCAUCAAGAUCUAUAGAGAUAGAUGAAGACGCUUAAUUGGACUUUCAUAAAGCACAUACCUUGACAAAGUUUUGAAGAAGUUCAAAAUGGAUCAAGCAAAGAAAGGGUUCUUGCCUGUGUUACAAGGUGUGAAUUGAGUAAGACUCAAUGCCCGACCACUGCAGAAGAUAGAGAGAAGAUGAAAGAUGUUCCCUAUGCUUCAGCCAUAGGCUCUAUCAUGUAUGCAAUGCUGUGUACCAGACCUGAUGUGUGCCUUGCUAUAAGUUUAGCAGGGAGGUACCAAAGUAAUCCAGGAGUGGAUCACUGGACAGCGGUCCAGAACAUCCUAAAAUACCUGAAAAGGACUAAGGAUAUGUUUCUCGUUUAUGGAGGUGACAAAGAGCUAGUCGUAAAUGGUUACGUCGAUGCAAGCUUUGACACUGAUCCGGACGAUUCUAAAUCGCAAACCGGAUACGUGUUUACAUUGAACGGUGGAGCUAUCAGUUGGUGCAGUUCUAAACAAAGCGUUGUGGCGGGAUCUACGUGUGAAGCGGAGUACAUAGCUGCUUCGGAAGCAGCAAAUGAAGGAGUCUCGAUGAAGGAGUUCAUAUCCGAUCUAGGUGUCAUACCUAGUGCAUCGGGUCCAAUGAAAAUCUUUUGUGACAAUACUGGUGCAAUUGCCUUGGCAAAGGAAUCCAGAUUUCACAAGAGAACAAAGCACAUCAAGAGGUGCUUCAAUUCCAUCCGGGAUCUAGUCCAGGUGGGAGACAUAGAAAUUUGCAAGAUACAUACGGAUCUGAAUGUUGCAGACCCGUUGACUAAGCCUCUUCCACGAGCAAAACAUGAUCAGCACCAAGGCUCCAUGGGUGUUAGAAUCAUUACUUUGUAAUCUAGAUUAUUGACUCUAGUGCAAGUGGGAGACUGAAGGAAAUAUGCCCUAGAGGUAAUAAUGAAGUUAUUAUUUAUUUCCUUAUAUCAUGAUAAAUGUUUAUUAUUCAUGCUAGAAUUGUAUUAACCGGAAACAUAAUACUUGUGUGAAUACAUAGACAAACAGAGUGUCACUAGUAUGUCUCUACUUGACUAGCUCGUUGAUCAAAGAUGGUUAUGUUUCCUAGCCAUUGACAUGAGUUGUCAUUUGAUUAACGGGAUCACAUCAUUAGGAGAAUGAUGUGAUUGACUUGACCCAUUCCGUUAGCUUAGCACACGAUCGUUUAGUAUUCUGCUAUUGCUUUCUUCAUGACUAAUACAUGUUCCUAUGACUAUGAGAUUAUGCAACUCCCGUUUACCGAAGGAACACUUUGUGUGCUACCAAAUGUCACAACAUAACUGGGUGAUUAUAAAGGUGAUCUACAGGUGUCUCCGAAGGUACUUGUUGGGUUGGCGUAUUUCGAGAUUAGGAUUUGUCACUCCGAUUGUCGGAGAGAUAUCUCUGGGCCCACUCGGUAAUGCACAUCACUAUAAGCCUUGCAAGCAUAGUAACUAAUGAGUUAGUUGCGAGAUGAUGCGUUACAGAACGAGUAAAGAGACUUGCCGUUAACGAGAUUGAACUAGGUAUUGAGAUACCAACGAUCGAAUCUCGGGCAAGUAACAUACCGAUGACAAAGGGAACAACGUAUGUUGUUAUGCGGUUUGACCCAUAAAGAUCUUCGUAGAAUAUGUGGGAGCCAAUAUGAGCAUCCAGGUUCCGCUAUUGGUUAUUGACCGGAGACGUGUCUCGGUCAUGUCUACAUAGUUCUCGAACCCGUAGGGUCCGCACGCUUAAAGUUUGAUGACAGUUAUAUUAUGAUUUUAUGUGUUUUGAUGUACUGAAGAUAGUUCGGAGUCCCGGAUGUGAUCACGGGCAUGACGAGGAGUCUCGAAAUGGUCGAGACAUAAAGAUUGAUAUAUUGGAAGCCUAUAUUUGGAUAUCAGAAGUGUUCCGGGUGAAAUCGGGAUUUUACCGGAGUGCCGGGGGGUUACCGGAACCCCCCCCCCGGGUUUAAUGGGCCUACAUGGGCCUUAGUGGAGAAGAGGAGGGGCGUACAGGGCAGGCCGCACGCCCCCUCCCCCACUAGUUCGAAUUGGACAAGGAGGGGGGCGGCGCCCCCCUUUCCUUCCUCUCUCCCUCCUCCUUCCCCCUUCUCCUACUCCAACUAGAUAAGGAGGGAGUCCUACUCCGGGUGGGAGUAGGACUCCUCCUAGCGCGCCUCCUCCUGGCCGGCCGCCUCUCCCUCCCUUGCUCAUUUAUAUAUGGGGGCAGGGGGCACCCCAUAGACACAACAAUUGAUCUCUUAAUCUCUUAGCCGUGUGCGAUGCCCCCCUCCACCAUAAUCCACCUCGAUAAUAUCGCAGCGGUGCUUAGGCCAAGCUUUUGCGUCGGUAGAGCAUCAUCAUCGUCACCACGCCGUCGUGCUGACGAAACUCUCCCUCAAAGCUCGGCUAGAUCGGAGUUCGAGGGACGUCAUCGAGCUGAACAUGUGUUGAACUCGGAGGUGCCGUGCGUUCGGUACUUGAUCGGUCGGAUCGUGAAGACGUACGACUACAUCAACCGCGUUGUGCUAACGCUUCCGCUUUUGGUCUACGAGGGUACGUGGACAACACUCUCCUCUCUCGUUGCUAUGCAUCACCAUGAUCUUGCGUGUGCGUAGGAAAAUUUUUGAAAUUACUACGUUCCCCAACACUUUAUCGGUCAACCCGCAUAACAACAUACGUUGUUCCCUUUCUCAUCAGUAUGUUACUUGCCCGAGAUUCGAUCGUCGGUAUCUCAAUACCUAGUUCAAUCUCGUUACCCGCAAGUCUCUUUACUCGUUUCAUAACGCAUCAUCUCGCAACUAACUCAUUAGUUACAAUGCUUGCAAGGCUUAUAGUGAUGUGCAUUACCGAGUGGGCCCAGAGAUACCUCUCCGACAAUCGGAGUGACAAAUCCUAAUCUCCAAAUACGCCAACCCAACAAGUACCACAGUUCAUAAGGCGUCGUCUCAACGGAUUUUGAUGGUGCCCUAUUUAAUGUGCAUGCAGCCGUCUCUAAAGCAUAACCCCAAAACGAUAGCGGUAAAUCAGUAAGAGACAUCAUAGACCGCACCAUAUCUAGUAAAGUACGAUUACGACGUUCGGACACACCAUUAUGUUGUGGUGUUCCGGGUGGCGUGAGUUGCGAAACUAUUCCGCAUUGUUUAAUAUGUAGGCCAAACUCGUAACUCAAAUAUUCUCCUCCACUAUCAGAUCGUAGAAAUUUUAUUUUCUUGUUACGAUGAUUUUCCACUUCACUCUGAAAUUCUUUGAACUUUUCAAAUGUUUCGGACUUAUGUUUCAUUAAGUAGAUAUACCCAUAUCUACUUAAAUCAUCUGUGAAGGUGAGAACAUAACAAUACCCGCCGCGAGCCUCAACACUCAUUGGACCACAUACAUCAGUAUGUAUGAUCUCCAACAAAUCAGUUGCUCGCUCCAUAGUUCCGGAGAACGACGUUUUAGUCAUCUUCCCCAUGAAUAUGUGUGUCACUACUAUCGAGAUUCAGCAAAAAUAGACCACUCUUCAAGGGUGCAUGACCAUAAAAGAUAUUACUCAUAUAAAUUGAACAACCAUUAUUCUCUGAUUUAAAUGAAUAGCCGUCUCGCAUCAAACAAGAUCCAGAUAUAAUGUUCAUGCUCAACGCUGGCACCAAAUAACAAUUAUUUAGGUCCAAAACUAAUCCCGAAGGUAGAUGUAGAGGUAGCGUGCCGACCGCGAUCACAUCAACUUCGGAGCCAUUUCCCACGCGCAUCGUCACCUCGUCCUUAGCCAAUCUUCGCUUAAUCCGUAGCCCCUGUUUCGAGUUGCAAAUAUUAGCAACGGAACCAGUAUCAAAUACCCACGUACUACUGUGAGCAUUAGUAAGGUACACAUCAAUAACAUGAAUAUCACAUAUACCUUUGUUCACCUUGCCAUCCUUCUUAUCCGCCAAAUACUUGGGGCAGUUCCGCUUCCAGUGACCAGUCUGUUUGCAGUAGAAGCACUCAGUCUCAAGCUUAGGUCCAGACUUGGGUUUCUUCUCCUGAGCAGCAACUUGUUUGCUGUUCUUCUUGAAGUUCCCCUUCUUCUUCCCUUUGCCCUUUUUCAUGAAACUGGUGGUCUUGUUAACCAUCGACACUUGAUGCUCCUUCUUGAUUUCUACCUCUGCAGCCUUUAGCAUUGCGAAGAGCUCGGGAAUUGUCUUAUCCAUCCCUUGCAUGUUAUAGUUCAUCACGAAGCUCUUGUAGCUUGGUGGCAGUGAUUGAAGAAUUCUGUCAAUGACGCUAUCAUCCGGAAGAUUAACUCCUCAAGUGAUUGUUAUACCCAGACAUUUUGAGUAUAUGCUCACUGACAGAACUAUUCUCCUCCAUCUUGCAGCUGUAGAACUUAUUGGAGACUUCAUAUCUCUCAAUCCGGGCAUUUGCUUGAAAUAUUAACUUCAACUCCUGGAACAUCUCAUAUGCUCCAUGACGUUCAAAACGUCGUUGAAGUCCCGGUUCUAAGCCGUAAAGCAUGGCACACUGAACUAUCGAGUAGUCAUCAGCUUUGCUCUACCAGAUGUUCAUAACAUCUGGUGUUGCUCCUGCAGCAGGUCUGGCACCUAGCGGUGCUUCCAGGACGUAAUUCUUCUGUGCAGCAAUGAGGAUAAUCCUCAAGUUACGGACCCAGUCCGUGUAAUUGCUACCAUCAUCUUUCAACUUUGCUUUCUCAAGGAACGCAUUAAAAUUCAACGGAACAACAGCACGGGCCAUCUAUCUACAAUCAACAUAGACAAGCAAAAUACUAUCAGGUACUAAGUUCAUGAUAAAUUAAAGUUCAAUUAAUCAUAUUACUUAAGAACUCCCACUUAGAUAGACAUCCCUCUAAUCAUCUAAGUGAUCACGUGAUCCAAAUCAACUAAACCAUGUCCGAUCAUCACAUGAGAUGGAGUAGUUUUCAAUGGUGAACAUCACUAUGUUGAUCAUAUCUACUAUAUGAUUCACGCUCGACCUUUCGGUCUCAGUGUUCCGAGGCCAUAUCUGCAUAUGCUAGGCUCGUCAAGUUUAACCUGAGUAUUCUGCGUGUGCAACUGUUUUGCACCCGUUGUAUUUGAACGUAGAGCUUAUCACACCCGAUCAUCACGUGGUGUCUCAGCACGAAGAACUUUCGCAACGGUGCAUACUCAGGGAGAACACUUUUAUCUUGAAAUUUUAGUGAGAGAUCAUCUAAUAAUGCUACCGUCAAUCAAAGCAAGGUAAGAUGCAUAAAAGAUAAACAUUACAUGCAAUCAAUAUAAGUGAUAUGAUAUGGCCAUCAUCAUCUUGUGCUUGUGAUCUCCAUCUCCGAAGCACCGUCAUGAUCACCAUCGUCACCGGCGCGACACCUUGAUCUCCAUCGUAGCAUCGUUGUCGUCUCGCCAACUUAUGCUUCUACGACUAUCGCUACCGCUUAGUGAUAAAGUAAAGCAUUACAGGGCGAUUGCAUUGCAUACAAUAAAGCGACAACCAUAUGGCUCCUGCCAGUUGCUGAUAACUCGGUUACAAAACAUGAUCAUCUCAUACAAUAAAAUAUAGCAUCAUGCCUUGACCAUAUCACAUCACAACAUGUCCUGCAAAAAACAAGUUAGAGGUCCUCUACUUUGUUGUUGCAAGUUUUACGUGGCUGCUAUGGGAUGAGCAAGAACCGUUCUUACCUACGCAUCAAAACCACAACGAUAGUUCGUCAAGUUAGUGUUGUUUUAACCUUCUCAAGGACCGGGCGUAGCCACACUCAAUUCAACUAAAGUUGGAGAAACUGACACCCGCCAGCCACCUGUGUGCAAAGCACGUCGGUAGAACCAGUCUCGCGUAAGCGUACGCGUAAUGUCGGUCCGGGCCGCUUCAUCCAACAAUACCGCCGAACCAAAGUGUGACAUGCUGGUAAGCAGUAUGACUUGUAUCGCCCACAACUCACUUGUGUUCUACUCGUGCAUAUAACAUCUAUGCAUAAAACCAGGCUCGGAUGCCACUGUUGGGGAACGUAGUAAUUUCAAAUAAAUUCGUACGCACACACAGGAUCAUGGUGAUGCAUAGCAACGAGAGGGGAGAUUGUUGUCCACGUACCUCGUAGACCGAAAGCGGAAGCGUUAGCACAACGCGGUUGAUGUAGUCGUACGUCUUCACGAUCCGACCGAUCCAAGUACCGAACGUACGGCACCUCCGAGUUCAGCACACGUUCAGCUCGAUGACGUCCCGCGAACUCCGAUCCAGCAGAGCUUCACGAGAGAGUUCUGUUAGCACGACGGCGUGGUGACGCUGGUGAUGUUGCUACCGACGCAGGGCUUCGCCUAAGCACCGCUACGAUAUGACCGAGGUGGAAUAUGGUGGAGGGGGCACCGCACACGGCUGGAAUAGAUCAACAGAUCAACUUGUGUGUCUAGAGGUGCCCCCUGCCCCUGUAUAUAAAGGAUCAGGGGGAGGAGGCCGGCGGCCAGGAGGAGGGCAUGCCAGGGAGGAGUUCUACUCCCACCGGGAGUAGGACUCCCUCUUUUCCUAGUUGGAGUAGGAGGGGGAAAGGAAGGGAAGGAGAGAGGGUGGAGGAAAGGGGGCGCCCCCCCUCCUUGUCCAAUUCGGACUAGAGGGGGAGGGGGCGCGCGGCCAGCCCUAGCCGCCCCUCCUCUUCUCCACUAAGGCCCAUCUUGGCCCAUUAAGCUCCCCGGGGGGUUCCGGUAACCCCCCGGUACUCCGGUAUAUGUCCGAAACUCCCCGAAACCAUUCCGGUGUCCGAACAUAGUCAUCCAAUAUAUUGAUCUUUAUGUCUCGACCAUUUCGAGACUCCUCGUCAUGUCCGUGAUCACAUCCGGGACUCCGAACUACCUUCGGUACAUCAAAACACAAAAACUCAUAAUACAAUCGUCAUCGAACUUUAAGCGUGCGGACCCUACGGGUUCGAGAACUAUGUAGACAUGACCGAGACACGUCUCCGGUCAAUAACCAAUAGCGGAACCUGGAUGCUCAUAUUGGCUCCCACAUAUUCUACGAAGAUCUUUAUCGGUCAAACCGCAUAACAACAUACGUUGUUCCCUAUGUCAUCAGUAUGUUACUUGCCCGAGAUUCGAUCGUCGGUAUCUCAAUACCUAGUUCAAUCUCGUUACCGGCAAGUCUCUUUACUCGUUCCGUAACGCAUCAUCUCGCAACUAACUCAUUAGUCACAAUGCUUGCAAGGCUUAUAGUGAUGUGCAUUACCGAGUGGGCCCAGAGAUACCUCUCCGACAAUCGGAGUGACAAAUCCUAAUCUCGAAAUACGCCAACCCAACAAGUACCUUUGGAGACACCUGUAGAGCACCUUUAUAAUCACCCAGUUACGUUGUGACGUUUGGUAGCACACAAAGUGUUCCUCCGGUAAACGGGAGUUGCAUAAUCUCAUAGUCAUAGGAACAUGUAUAAGUCAUGAAGAAAGCAAUAGCAGAGUACUAAACGAUCAAGUGCUAAGCUAACGGAAUGGGUCAAGUCAAUCACAUCAUUCUCCUAAUGAUGUGAUCUCGUUAAUCAAAUGACAACUCAUGUCUAUGGCUAGGAAACAUAACCAUCUUUGAUCAACGAGCUAGUCAAGUAGAGGCAUACUAGGGACACUCUGUUCGUCUAUGUAUUCACACAAGUAUUAUGUUUCCGGUUAAUACAAUUCUAGCAUGAAUAAUAAACAUUUAUCAUGAUAUAAGGAAAUAAAUAAUAACUUUAUUAUUGCCUCUAGGGCAUAUUUCCUUCAGGAAAGUCAUCCUGCUCAUGCCAGCUUCAUUUGUGGCACCAUCAAGCCUGCCAACGAAGAACUGGUGAUUGCAACAACCAUAUCCAUGCCCCAAGGUUAAGUGUUCUUAGCCAUUGUUAGUGAGAUUCUGGCUUAGACAACGACUUCAAAUCUGGUCUAGGAUCAAAGGUACCAAUGAGGUCGUUUCCUCUAGAAUAUAGUUGAAAAAUUCAUAGGCCUAUCUCUCCCUAAGUGGAAUGGCGGAAUGAAUGUCAAGGAAUAUCUAACUUUUCUUCUCUCCUUGCAGCAUGCUUAUUGGAAACAAAAAAGAGCCAUUUUCAAAUGGUCCAAAUUUGGUGAGAUCAACUCCAAAUUUCUACAGGCCAAAGCUACCAUCAAAUUUAGACAUAACCAGAUUUCUAUGUUGUAAGAUGAUCAGGAGGUAGAGCAAUCAAGUCAUGAGGCCAAAGUUUUUAUUCUCUAGAGAGCAUUCAGGCAAAGACUUGGUACUUCUACCUACUUUCAACCUAUUUAAUUGGGAUAACCUAAUUGAUAAGCAGGAUGAUCUCUCUUCUUUUGAAGAGCCUUUCACUAAGGAAGAAAUAGAUGAAAUGGUUAAGAGUCUGCCUGCUAACAAAGCAUCUCUAGACAUGAUGGAUUCGAUACUAAUUUUAUUAAAGCUUGUUGGCAUAUUGUUGUUGAAGAUUUCUAUGAGCUUACAAAUGAUUUUUACCAGGGUAAAGUUAAUCUUCAAAGUAUUAACUAAUAAUGCAUCACCUUGGUUCCAAAGGCAAACCCCUCUCAAGCUAGUGAAUUUAAGCCUUCUUCUCUCUUGAACUGCUCUAUCAAAAUCAUUACCAAGCUCCUGACUAGUAGGCUUCAAAGAUACAUAUUAUUGUGCAUGCCAACCAAUAUGGUUUCAUUAAAAGAAGAUCCAUACAAGACUGUGUGGCUUGGGCCUAUGAAUAUAUUCAUUACUGUCACCAUUUUGGUACAAAUAUUGUUUUGCUAAAUUGGAUUUUGAGAAAGUCUUUGACAUGAUUGGGCAUUAAACAAAUAAGCAGCUGAUGAUAGCAAGGGGAUUUGGUGAUAGAUGGUUGAUGUGGAUUGACAUGAUCUAACCCUCUGGAUAUUCUUCUAUCCUUAUAAAUGGUAUUCCUGGGAAGUGUUUUCUUUGCAAGAAGGGGUCAGGCAAGGAGGGGCCCUCUCCCUCCUCAUUUUUUCAUUAAUAUUGAUCUAUUACAAUCAAUUUUCAAUGAAGCCGGGACCAAUAAUCUAGUCAGAUUGUCCAUUGACUCUACAGCUUCCAUAGACUACCCAAUUAUCCAGUACGCAAAUGAGACAGUCUUGGUCCUACCUCCUUGUCUAGCCCAAAUGCAACAUGUUCAGAACUUACUCAUGCACUUUGCAGCUUAUACUAGCCUAGGAGUAAACUAUAAUAAAUCCUUAAUGGUGCCAACCAAUGUAUCAGAUCAUAUGUUUCAGCAGCCACAACUAUCUUUGGUUGUGUUCAAGGAUCACUACCCUUCACUUAUCUUGGCAUUCAUCUUUGUUUAUCUAAACCUAGAGUUGAAUACUUUGCCCUCUGCAUGCACAUGACUGAAAACGGGCUCUAGGGGUGCUCUACCUUUCUUUCUUGUGGAGAAAGGCUACAUCUUAUUAAAUCUGUGUUCACUAGUUUGCCCACCUUCUUCAUGUGUUCAUUAGAACUGGCCAAGACUAUUCUUGAGCAGAUUAACAAAUACUUGAGGCAUUGUUUCUGGAGAAAGUAUGGCAUGGAAGAUAGGGGAUCUUUUAUAAUUGCUUGGGACAAGGUUUGCUUGUCUAAAAAUCAUGGUGGGCUUGGAGUGUUGCAUGUUGCCACACAUAAUAAAUCUCGUUAAUCAAGCACUUGCACAAAUUCUUUAACAAGCUAGACUUGCCUUGGGUUCAUUUUUCAGCACUCUUACUACUCUAAUGGGCCCCCUAGUGGUGGUAUGGUUUGGUCCUUCUGGUGGAAAUGCAUUCUCAAUUUAAUUCUUGAAUUUAAAGUUGUGGCUUCUUGCUCUAUUGAAAAAGGCACGUCCACCUUAUUUUGGACGGAUAAUUGGAAUGAUGCUACUCUCAAUAAAGGAUUUCCUAAGCUCCACUAUUUUACUAUCAAUGAAAAGAUUUAUAAAUCAAGCAUGCAAUACCAAUAGUCUUGAUAAGCUCUUCCACAUGCCCCUAUCUACCGAAGCUCAUCGGCAAUUUGUGUUGCUCUAGGAGUUGAUGCUAAAUAAGCCUCUUUUGGUGGAUAAUGAAAUCUGGAUAUAUGUCGAGCUCUCAAAAAUAUACCCCUGCCAAAAUGUAUAAGACCCUUAGAGUUGGAAAUCCUGCCCAUUUCAUUUUCAAAAUGUUGUGGAAGAGUGCUCCUAUCCUCAACAAAUUUUCUUCUAGCUACUUCUUCAUGACAGGCAAAAUACCAAAAAUCUGCUUCAAAGGGAAUCCUUAUGGCUCGCUUCCUACUCUUGUGUGGUGUUUACUGAUGUUAAGGAAUAGACUGCCUUACAUCUUUUUGGGACUAUGGUUUUGCUCUAAGUUGUUAGGAUUCAGUCAUACUUAACAGAACAAGAAGCACUUCAGUUACCCAUGACACAGUGAUGGCUUUCUCCACACUCCCCUUUGAAACUGCAAAUGGAUAUCCUGGUAAUGGGCAGCUAGAACAUUUGGAUGCAAAGGAACAAUUUGAUCUUUCCUAACAUUAUACAAGUGUGCUUUCCUGGAAAUUUUUUUUAAAAAAAGACGUGCAGAUCAUGAGCGAGAGAAACGAGAACAAGUACAUCCCAAUUCUGCAUAGCUGGAUCGAAAGUCACCUUCAAGUUUAGUUGUCUUAUAUCUUUAUGAUUAUGUUGCCUAAGACAAGAAUCGACUGGAAGUUGAGCUCUGGCUCCUUUUAUUUUGUUUAUUUUAUUUUAUUUUUAACUUGUAUAUAUCGGCUACGCUUUCUCUGAUAUAUGAAAAUUUACCGUGGAACAAAAAACGAAUUCGCUCUCCCACAGUAUAGGAUCACGAGGGUGAUAGGUUAUGAAGACCUACUCUCUUGCUCGCCAGUGCACGUUGGUGUUUUGGAGUAGACUACUAUGACGACACGGCAAAAGGAAGCAAUGAAGGAAAUAUGCCCUAGAGGCAAUAAUAAAGUUAUUAUUUAUUUCCUUAUAUCAUGAUAAAUGUUUAUUAUUCAUGCUAGAAUUGUAUUAACCGGAAACAUAAUACAUGUGUGAAUACAUAGACAAACAGAGUGUCACUAGUAUGCCUCUACUUGACUAGCUCGUUGAUCAAAGAUGGUUAUGUUUCCUAGCCAUAGACAUGAGUUGUCAUUUGAUUAAGGGGAUCGCAUCAUUAGGAGAAUGAUGUGAUUGACUUGACCCAUUCCGUUAGCUUAGCACUCGAUCGUUUAGUAUGUUGCUAUUGCUUUCUUCAUGACUUAUACAUGUUCCUAUGACUAUGAGAUUAUGCAACUCCCGUUUACCGGAGGAACACUUUGUGUGCUACCAAACGUCACAACGUAACUGGGUGAUUAUAAAGGUGCUCUACAGGUGUCUCCAAAGGUACUUGUUGGGUUGGCGUAUUUCGAGAUUAGGAUUUGUCACUCCGAUUGUCGGAGAUGUAUCUCUGGACCGACUCAGUAAUACACAUCACUAUAAGCCUUGCAAGCAUUGUGACUAAUGAGUUAGUUGCGGGAUGAUGUAUUACGGAACGAGUAAAGAGACUUGCCGGUAAUGAGAUUGAAUUAGGUAUCGAGUGUUGGGGAUCGUAGCAGAAUUUUAAAAUUUCCUACACAUCACCAAGAUCCAUCUAUGGAGUAUACUAGCAACGAGGGGAAAGGAGUGCAUCUACAUACCCUUGUAGAUCGCGAGCGGAAGCGUUCCAAUGAACGGGGUUGAUGGAGUCGUACUCGCCGUGAUCCAAAUCACCGAUGACCGAGUGUCGAACGGACGGCACCUCCGCGUUCAACACACGUACGGAGCAGCGACGUCUCCUCCUUCUUGAUCCAGCAAGGGGGAAGGAGAGGUUGAUGGAGAUCCAGCAGCACGACGGCGUGGUGGUGGAUGUAGCGGGAUCCCGGCAGGGCUUCGCCAAGCACUAGCGGGAGGGAGAGGUGUUGCAGGGGGAGAGGGAGGCGCCAGGGGCUGUGGUCCUACUGCCCUUCCUCCCCCCCCCCCACUAUUUAUAGGACCCCUGGGGGCGCCGGCCCUGGGAGAUGGGAUCUCCAAGGGGGGCGGCGGCCAAGGGGGAAGGGGGGUGGCUUCCCCCCCAAGUCAAGUGGGGCGCCCCCCACCCCCAGGGUUUCCAACCCUAGGCCCAGGGGGAGACCCAAGGGGGGCGCCCCAGCCCACUAAGGGCUGGUUCCCUUCCCCUUUCAGCCCAUGGGGCCCUCCGCGAUAGGUGGCCCCACCCGGUGGACCCCCGGGACCCUUCCGGUGGUCCCGGUACAAUACCAAUAACACCCGAAACUUUCCCGGUGGCCGAAACUGGACUUCAUAUAUAUAAUUCUUCACCUCCGGACCAUUCUGGAACUCCUCGUGACGUCCGGGAUCUCAUCCGGGACUCCGAACAACUUUCGGGUUUCCGCAUACUCAUAUCUCUACAACCCUAGCGUCACCGAACCUUAAGUGUGUAGACCCUACGGGUUCGGGAGACAUGCAGACAUGACCGAGACGCCUCUCCGCUCAAUAACCAACAGCGGGAUCUGGAUACCCAUGUUGGCUCCCACAUGUUCCAUGAUGAUCUCAUCAGAUGAACCACGAUGUCGAGGAUUCAAUCAAUCCCGUAUACAAUUCCCUUUGUCAAUCGGCAUGUUACUUGCCCGAGAUUCGAUCGUCGGUAUCCCAAUACCUUGUUCAAUCUCGUUACCGGCAAAUCUCUUUACUCGUACCGUAAUGCAUGAUCCCGUGACUAACUCCUUAGUCACAUUGAGCUCAUUAUGAUGAUGCAUCACCGAGUGGGCCCAGAGAUACCUCUCCGUCACACGGAGACAAAUCCCAGUCUCGAUACGUGCCAACCCAACAGACACUUUUGGAGAUACCCGUAGUGUACCUUUAUAGUCACCCAGUUACGUUGUGACGUUUGGCAUACCCAAAGCACUCCUACGGUAUACGGGAGUUGCACGAUCUCAUGGUCUAAGGAAAAGAUACUUGACAUUGGAAAAGCUCUAGCAAACGAACUACACGAUCUUUGAGCUAUGCUUAGGAUUGGGUCUUGUCCAUCACAUCAUUCUCCUAAUGAUGUGAUCCCGUUAUCAAUGACAUCCAAUGUCCAUAGUCAGGAAACCAUGACUAUCUGUUGAUCAACGAGCUAGUCAACUAGAGGCUUACUAGGGACACGUUGUGGUCUAUGCAUUCACACAUGUAUUACGAUUUCCGGAUAACACAAUUAUAGCACGAACAAUAGACAAUUAUCGUGAACAAAUAAAUAUAAUAAUAACCAUUUAUUAUUGCCUCUAGGGCAUAUUUCCAACAGUCUCCCACUUGCACUAGAGUCAAUAAUCUAGUUACAUUGUGAUGAAUCGAACACCCAUAGCGUCCUGGUGUUGAUCAUGUUUUGCUCUAGGGAGAGGUUUAGUCAACGGAUCUGCUACAUUCAGGUCCGUAUGUACUUUACAAAUAUCUAUGUCUCCAUUUUGAACACUUUCACGAAUGGAGUUGAAGCGACGCUUGAUAUGCCUGGUCUUCCUGUGAAACCUGGGCUCCUUGGCAAGGGCAAUAGCUCCAGUGUUGUCACAGAAGAGAGUCAUCGGGCUCGACGCAUUGGGAAUCACCCCUAGGUCGGUAAUGAACUCCUUUAUCCAGACUGCUUCCUGUGCUGCCUCUGAGGCCGCCAUGUACUCCGCUUCACAUGUAGAUCCUGCCACGACGCUUUGCUUGCAACUGCACCAGCUUACUGCUCCUCCAUUCAAAAUAUACACGUAUCCGGUUUGUGACUUCGAGUCAUCCAGAUCUGUGUCGAAGCUAGCGUCGACGUAACCCUUUACGACGAGCUCUUCGUCACCUCCAUAAACGAGAAACAUAUCCUUAGUCCUCCUCAGGUACUUCAGGAUAUUCUUGACCGCUGUCCAGUGUUCCAUGCCGGGAUUACUUUGGUACCUUCCUACCAAACUUACGGCAAGGUUUACAUCAGGUCUGGUACACAGCAUGGCAUACAUAAUAGACCCUAUGGCCGAGGCAUAGGAGAUGACACUCAUCUUUUCUAUAUCUUCUGCCGUGGUCGGGCAUUGAGCCGUGCUCAAUUGCACACCUUGCAAUACAGGCAAGAACCCCUUCUUGGACUGAUCCAUAUUGAACUUCUUCAAUAUCUUGUCAAGGUACGUACUCUGUGAAAGACCAAUGAGGCGUCUUGAUCUAUCUCUAUAGAUCUUGAUGCCUAAUAUAUAAGCAGCUUCUCCAAGGUCCUUCAUUGAAAAACACUUAUUCAAAUAGGCCUUUAUACUUUCCAAGAAUUCUAUAUCAUUUCCCAUUAAUAAUAUGUCAUCCACAUAUAAUAAGAGAAAUGCUACAGAGCUCCCACUCACUUUCUUGUAAACACAGGCUUCUCCAUAAGUCUGUGUAAACCCAAACGCUUUGAUCAUCUCAUCAAAGCGAAUGUUCCAACUCCGAGAUGCUUGCACCAGCCCAUAGAUUGAGCGCUGGAGCUUGCAUACUUUGUUAGCAUUCUUAGGAUCGACAAAACCUUCUGGCUGCAUCAUAUACAAUUCUUCCUUAAGAAAGCCGUUAAGGAAUGCCGUUUUGACGUCCAUCUGCCAUAUCUCAUAAUCAUAGUAUGCGGCGAUUGCUAACAUGAUUCGGACAGACUUCAGCUUCGCUACGGGUGAGAAAGUCUCAUCGUAGUCAACCCCUUGAACUUGUCGAUAACCCUUAGCAACAAGUCGAGCCUUAUAGAUGGUCACAUUACCAUCCGCGUCUGUCUUCUUCUUAAAGAUCCAUUUGUUUUCUAUGGCUUGCCGAUCAUCAGGCAAGUCAGUCAAAGUCCAUACUUCGUUUUCAUACAUGGAUCCUAUCUCGGAUUUCAUGGCUUCCAGCCAUUUGUCGGAAUCCGGGCCCGCCAUCGCCUCUUCAUAGUUCGAAGGUUCACCGUUGUCUAACAACAUGAUUUCCAGGACAGGGUUGCGGUACCACUCUGGUGCGGAACGUGUCCUUGUGGACCUACGAAGUUCAGCAGUAACUUGAUCCGAAGCUUCAUGAUCAUCAUCAUUGACUUCCUCCCUAGUCGGUGUAGGCACCACAGGAACAUCUUCCCGCGCUGCGCUACUUUCCGGUUCGGAAGGGGUGACUAUCACCUCAUCAAGUUCCACUUUCCUCCCACUCAAUUCUUUCGAGAGAAACUCUUUCUCCAGAAAGGACCCGUUCUUGGCAACGAAGGUCUUGCCUUCGGAUCUGAGGUAGAAGGUAUACCCAAUAGUUUCCUUAGGGUAUCCUAUGAAGACGCAUUUCUCCGACUUGGGUUCGAGCUUUUCAGGUUGAAGUUUCUUGACAUAAGCAUCGCAUCCCCAAACUUUUAGAAACGACGGCUUAGGUUUCUUCCCAAACCAUAAUUCAUACAGUGUCGUCUCAACGGAUUUCGACGGAGCCCUAUUUAAAGUGAAUGCGGCAGUCUCUAAAGCAUAGCCCCAAAAUGAGAGCGGUAGAUCGGUAAGAGACAUCAUAGAUCGCACCAUAUCCAAUAGAGUGUGAUUACGACGUUCGGACACACCAUUUCGCUGAGGUGUUCCAGGCGGCAUGAGUUGUGAAACUAUUCCACAUUUCCUUAAGUGUGUGCCAAACUCGUGACUUAAAUAUUCCCCUCCACGAUCUGAUCGUAGGAACUUUAUUUUCCUGUCACGUUGAUUCUCAACCUCACUCUGAAAUUCCUUGAACUUUUCAAAGGUCUCAGACUUGUGUUUCAUUAGGUAGACAUACCCAUAUCUACUUAAGUCAUCAGUGAGAGUGAGAACAUAAUGAUAGCCACCGCGAGCCUCAACACUCAUUGGACCGCACACCUCGGUAUGUAUGAUUUCCAAUAAGUUGGUUGCUCGCUCCAUUGUUCCGGAGAACGGAGUCUUGGUCAUCUUACCCAUGAGGCAUGGUUCGCACGUGUCAAAUGAUUCGUAAUCAAGAGACUCCAAAAGUCCAUCUGCAUGGAGCUUCUUCAUGCGCUUGACACCAAUGUGACCAAGGCGGCAAUGCCACAAGUAUGUGGGACUAUCGUUAUCAACUUUACAUCUUUUGGUAUUCACACUAUGAAUAUGUGUAACAUCACGUUCGAGAUUCAUCAAGAACAAACCAUUGACCAGUGGGGCAUGACCAUAAAACAUAUCUCUCAUGUAAAUAGAACAACCAUUAUUCUCGGAUUUAAAUGAGUAGCCAUCUCGAAUUAAACGAGAUCCAGAUACAAUGUUCAUGCUCAAAGCUGGAACUAAAUAACAAUUAUUGAGGUUUAAAACUAAUCCCGUAGGUAAAUGUAGAGGCAGCGUGCCGACGGCGAUCACAUCGACCUUGGAACCAUUCCCGACGCUCAUCGUCACCUCGUCCUUCGCCAGUCUCCGUUUAUUCUGCAAUUCCUGUUUUGAGUUACAAAUAUGAGCAACCGCACCGGUAUCAAAUACCCAGGAGCUACUACGAGUACUGGUAAGGUACACAUCAAGUACAUGUAUAUCACAUAUACCUUUGGUGUUGCCGGCCUUCUUGUCUGCUAAGUAUUUGGGGCAGUUCCGCUUCCAGUGACCACUUCCCUUGCAAUAAAAGCACUCAGUCUCAGGCUUGGGUCCAUUCCUUGACUUCUUCCCAGUAACUGGCUUACCGGGCGCGGCGACUCCCUUGCCGUCCUUCUUGAAGUUCUUCUUGCCCUUGCCUUUCUUGAACUUAGUGGUUUUAUUCACCAUCAACACUUGAUGUUCCUUUCUGAUCUCCACCUCCGCUGAUUUCAGCAUUGAAUAUACCUCAGGAAUGGUCUUUUCCAUCCCCUGCAUAUUGAAGUUCAUCACAAAGCUCUUGUAGCUCGGUGGAAGCGACUGAAGGAUUCUGUCAAUGACCGCGUCAUCCGGGAGAUUAACUCCCAGCUGAGACAAGCGGUUGUGCAACCCAGACAUUCUGAGUAUGUGCUCACUGACAGAACUAUUUUCCUCCAUUUUACAGCUGAAGAACUUGUCGGAGACUUCAUAUCUCUCGACCCGGGCAUGAGCUUGGAAAACCAUUUUCAGCUCUUCGAACAUCUCAUAUGCUCCAUGUUUCUCAAAACGCUUUUGGAGCCCCGGUUCUAAGCUGUAAAGCAUGCCGCACUGAACGAGGGAGUAAUCAUCAGCACGUGAUUGCCAAGCGUUCAUAACGUCUUGGUUCUCUGGGAUUGGUGCUUCACCUAGCGGUGCUUCUAGGACAUAAUCUUUCUUGGCAGCUAUGAGGAUGAUCCUCAGGUUCCGGACCCAGUCCGUAUAGUUGCUGCCAUCAUCUUUCAGCUUGGUUUUCUCUAGGAACGCGUUGAAGUUGAGGACAACGUGGGCCAUUUGAUCUACAAGACAUAUUGUAAAGAUUUUAGACUAAGUUCAUGAUAAUUAAGUUCAUCUAAUCAAAUUACUCAAUGAACUCCCACUCAGAUAGACAUCCCUCUAGUCAUCUAAGGGCAACAUGAUCCGAGUUAACUAGGCCGUGUCCAAUCAUCACGUGAGACGGACUAGUCAAGAUCGGUGAACAUCUCCAUGUUGAUCGUAUCUUCUAUACGACUCAUGCUCGACCUUUCGGUCUUCCGUGUUCCGAGGCCAUGUCUGUACAUGCUAGGCUCGUCAAGUCAACCUAAGUGUAUUGCGUGUGUUCCGAGGCCAUGUCUGUACAUGCUAGGCUCGUCAACACCCGUUGUAUGCGAACGUUAGAAUCUAUCACACCCGAUCAUCACGUGGUGCUUCGAAACAACGAACCUUCACAACGGUGCAUAGUUAGGGGGAACACUUUCUUGAAAUUAUUAUAAGGGAUCAUCUUACUUACUACCGUCGUUCUAAGCAAAUAAGAUGCAAAACAUGAUAAACAUCACAUGCAAUCAAAUAGUGACAUGAUAUGGCCAAUAUCAUUUUGCUCCUUUGAUCUCCAUCUUCGGGGCGCCAUGAUCAUCUUCGUCACCGGCAUGACACCAUGAUCUCCAUCAUCAUGAUCUCCAUCAUCGUGUCUUCAUGAAGUUGUCACGCCAACGAUUACUUCUACUUCUAUGGCUAACGCGUUUAGCAAUAAAGUAAAGUAAUUUACAUGGCGUUAUUCAAUGACACGCAGGUCAUGCAAAAUAAUAAAGACAACUCCUAUGGCUCCUGCCGGUUGUCAUACUCAUCGACAUGCAAGUCGUGAUUCCUAUUACAAGAAUAUGAUCAAUCUCAUACAUCACAUAUAUCAUUCAUCACAUCUUCUGGCCAUAUCACAUCACAAGGCACAUGCUGCAAAAACAAGUUAGACGUCCUCUAAUUGUUGUUGCAAGUUUUUACGUGGCUUGUAUAGGUUUCUAGCAAGAACGUUUCUUACUUACGUAGAACCACAACGUGAUAUGCCAAUUUCUAUUUACCCUUCAUAAGGACCCUUUUCAUCGAAUCCGUUCCGACUAAAGUGGGAGAGACAGACACCCGCUAGCCACCUUAUGCAACUAGUGCAUGUCAGUCGGUGGAACCUGUCUCACGUAAGCGUACGUGUAAGGUCGGUCCGGGCCGCUUCAUCCCACAAUACCACCGAAACAAGAUAAGACUAGUAGCGGCAAGAAGAAUUGACAACAUCUACGCCCACAACUGCUUUGUGUUCUACUCGUGCAUAGUAACUACGCAUAGGCCUGGCUCAUGAUGCCACUGUUGGGGAUCGUAGCAGAAUUUUAAAAUUUCCUACGCAUCACCAAGAUCCAUCUAUGGAGUAUACUAGCAACGAGGGGAAAGGAGUGCAUCUACAUACCCUUGUAGAUCGCGAGCGGAAGCGUUCCAAUGAACGGGGUUGAUGGAGUCGUACUCGCCGUGAUCCAAAUCACCGAUGACCGAGUGCCGAACGGACGGCACCUCCGCAUUCAACACACGUACGGAGCAGCGACGUCUCCUCCUUCUUGAUCCAGCAAGGGGGAAGGAGAGGUUGAUGGAGAUCUAGCAGCACGACGGCGUGGUGGUGGAUGUAGCGGGAUCCCGGCAGGGCUUCGCCAAGCACUAGCGGGAGGGAGAGGUGUUGCAGGGGGAGAGGAAGGCGCCAGGGGCUGUGGUCCUACNNNNNNNNNNNNNNNNNNNNNNNNNNNNNNNNNNNNNNNNNNNNNNNNNNNNNNNNNNNNNNNNNNNNNNNNNNNNNNNNNNNNNNNNNNNNNNNNNNNNNNNNNNNNNNNNNNNNNNNNNNNNNNNNNNNNNNNNNNNNNNNNNNNNNNNNNNNNNNNNNNNNNNNNNNNNNNNNNNNNNNNNNNNNNNNNNNNNNNNNNNNNNNNNNNNNNNNNNNNNNNNNNNNNNNNNNNNNNNNNNNNNNNNNNNNNNNNNNNNNNNNNNNNNNNNNNNNNNNNNNNNNNNNNNNNNNNNNNNNNNNNNNNNNNNNNNNNNNNNNNNNNNNNNNNNNNNNNNNNNNNNNNNNNNNNNNNNNNNNNNNNNNNNNNNNNNNNNNNNNNNNNNNNNNNNNNNNNNNNNNNNNNNNNNNNNNNNNNNNNNNNNNNNNNNNNNNNNNNNNNNNNNCCCACCCCCAGGGUUUCCAACCCUAGGCGCAGGGGGAGGCCCAAGGGGGGCGCCCCAGCCCACUAAGGGCUGGUUCCCUUCCCCUUUCAGCCCAUGGGGCCCUCCGGGAUAGGUGGCCCCACCCGGUGGACCCCCGGGACCCUUCCGGUGGUCCCGGUACAAUACCGAUAACCCCCGAAACUUUCCCGGCGGCCGAAACUGGACUUGCUAUAUAUAAUUCUUCACCUCCGGACCAUUCCGGAACUCCUCGUGACGUCCGGGAUCUCAUCCGGGACUCCGAACAACUUUAGGGUUUCCGCAUACUCAUAUCUCUACAACCCUAGCGUCACUGAACCUUAAGUAUGUAGACCCUACGGGUUCGGGAGACAUGCAGACAUGACCGAGACGCCUCUCCGGUCAAUAACCAACAGCGGGAUCUGGAUACCCAUGUUGGCUCCCACAUGUUCCACGAUGAUCUCAUCGGAUGAACCACGAUGUCGAGGAUUCAAUCAAUCCCGUAUACAAUUCCCUUUGUCAAUCGGCAUGUUACUUGCCCGAGAUUCGAUCGUCGGUAUCCCAAUACCUUGUUCAAUAUCGUUACCGGCAAGUCUCUUUACUCGUACCGUAAUGCAUGAUCCCGUGACUAACUCCUUAGUCACAUUGAGCUCAUUAUGAUGAUGCAUCACCGAGUGGGCCCAGAGAUACCUCUCCGUCAAACGGAGUGACAAAUCCCAGUCUCGAUCCGUGCCAACCCAACAGACACUUUUGGAGAUACCCGUAUUGUACCUUUAUAGUCACCCAGUUACGUUGUGACGUUUGGCAUACCCAAAGCACUCCUACGGUAUCCGGGAGUUGCACGAUCUCAUGGUCUAAGGAAAAGAUACUUGACAUUGGAAAAGCUCUAGCAAACGAACUACACGAUCUUUGAGCUAUGCUUAGGAUUGGGUCUUGUCCAUCACAUCAUUCUCCUAAUGAUGUGAUCCCGUUAUCAAUGACAUCCAAUGUCCAUAGUCAGGAAACCAUGACUAUCUGUUGAUCAACGAGCUAGUCAACUAGAGGCUUACUAGGGACACGUUGUGGUCUAUGCAUUCACACAUGUAUUACGAUUUCCGGAUAACACAAUUAUAGCAUGAACAAUAGACAAUUAUCAUGAACAAAGAAAUAUAAUAAUAACCAUUUAUUAUUGCCUCUAGGGCAUAUUUCCAACAUCGAGAUACCGACGAUCGAAUCUCGGGCAAGUAACAUACCGAUGACAAAGGGAACAACGUAUGUUGUUAUGCGGUCUGACCGAUAAAGAUCUUUGUAGAAUAUGUGGGAACCAAUAUGAGCAUCCAGGUUCCGCUAUUGGUUAUUGACCGGAGAGGUGUCUCGGUCAUGUCUACAUAGUUCUUGAACCCGUAGGGUCCGCACGCUUAACGUUACGAUGACAGUUAUAUUAUGAGUUUAUAUGUUUUGAUGUACCGAAGGUUGUUCGGAGUCCCGGAUGUGAUCACGGACAUGACGAGGAGUCUCGAAAUGGUCGAGACAUAAAGAUUGAUAUAUUGGAAGCCUAUGUUUGGACAUCGGAAGUGUUCCGGGUGAAAUCGGGAUUUUUCCGGAGUACCGGGAGGUUACCGGAACCCCCGGGUAACUUAAUGGGCCUUANNNNNNNNNNNNNNNNNNNNNNNNNNNNNNNNNNNNNNNNNNNNNNNNNNNNNNNNNNNNNNNNNNNNNNNNNNNNNNNNNNNNNNNNNNNNNNNNNNNNNNNNNNNNNNNNNNNNNNNNNNNNNNNNNNNNNNNNNNNNNNNNNNNNNNNNNNNNNNNNNNNNNNNNNNNNNNNNNNNNNNNNNNNNNNNNNNNNNNNNNNNNNNNNNNNNNNNNNNNNNNNNNNNNNNNNNNNNNNNNNNNNNNNNNNNNNNNNNNNNNNNNNNNNNNNNNNNNNNNNNNNNNNNNNNNNNNNNNNNNNNNNNNNNNNNNNNNNNNNNNNNNNNNNNNNNNNNNNNNNNNNNNNNNNNNNNNNNNNNNNNNNNNNNNNNNNNNNNNNNNNNNNNNNNNNNNNNNNNNNNNNNNNNNNNNNNNNNNNNNNNNNNNNNNNNNNNNNNNNNNNNNNNNNNNNNNNNNNNNNNNNNNNNNNNNNNNNNNNNNNNNNNNNNNNNNNNNNNNNNNNNNNNNNNNNNNNNNNNNNNNNNNNNNNNNNNNNNNNNNNNNNNNNNNNNNNNNNNNNNNNNNNNNNNNNNNNNNNNNNNNNNNNNNNNNNNNNNNNNNNNNNNNNNNNNNNNNNNNNNNNNNNNNNNNNNNNAGGGGGCACCUCUAGACACACAAUUGAUCAUUGAUCUCUUAGCCGUGUGCGGUGCCCCCCUCCACCAUAUUACACCUCGAUAAUAUCGUAGCGGUGCUUAGGCGAAUCCCGGCGUCGGUAGAACAUCAACAUUGUCACCACGCCGUCAUGCUGACGAAACUCUCCCUCAACACUCGGCUGGAUCGGAGUUCGAGGGACGUCAUCGAGCUGAACGUGUGCUGAACUCGGAGGUGCCGUGCGUUCGGUACUUGAUCGGUCGGAUCGUGAAGACGUACGACUACAUCAACCGCAUUGUGUUAACGCUUCCGCUUUCGGUCUACGAGGGUACGUGGACAACACUCUCCCCUCUCGUUGCUAUGCAUCACCAUGAUCUUGCGUGUGCGUAGAAUUUUUUUGAAAUUACUACGUUCCCCAACAAGCAAAGCCCUGACUUGGUUUUAUAUAUCUUUGAUGGUUGCCGAUGAGUCUAUAUAUAGGAGAAUCGGCCUCAUAAUGCGAUCAUGAUCUAAACAAGGUAUCCAACUCGAAGACUACAGCAGCCAAGAAACCAAAAAGUAAAUGCAAAAGGAAGUCGUGCUCUUGCAAGACCACAAACUGAAUUUCAACAAGUCAUUCACACACAUGUCAAGCAGUACACAUAGGAACCCCCCCCUUUCCGACCCACGCGUCGCCUUGCUCUGGCGGCACGGGGGGAGGAACCCUAGUGUCUCCACCUUAUCUCCUCUCCCUUCCCCCACCCGUAUCGUCGCCGCCAGAGGGCGCCCACCGGCGAAGUCCGGCCCGGCCCAAGGAAGGCGGCGGCAGGGCGCUAGCCCUUGACGAUGCGGCACGACGAGGAGGGCAGCCACUUGGCCCGCCGGGGAGAUCUGCGUGCCCCGGAUCUGCUCAAUGCGUGUUUGCAGCAGCGAGGUGGAGGUGAAGGGCCGCACGCCCAUCCAACAGCGAGCACACGUGCUGGCUGUACGGUGGAGGUGAUGGGCGCUACCCAUGUGGCAUGGGGGCUAGGGGCGGUGCGGUCAUGCGCGUCCACGUUGUGGGGUGUUGCGGGGGGUGCAGGCUCCCCCAUCGCCACCCCCUCCCCGGCGGGCAGCCUCUAGCUUGGUGCAAUCAAAUCUGACGGGUCCUUAUCGGCCGAAUCUGGCGCCCUGGCGGCCGUUGUCCUAGAGGCGGCUCGGUCGGCGACUGACUCCUUAUGGUUGCGUGGUGGCUCUAGGUCAGGAUUGUGGUCUGCGGUAUAGUGGUCUUCGCAGGGCCUUCGGGCUGCUCUGGGAUUGCACCACCGGUGGUGCUCCCGCUAGUUGUGUGCGGUGCAACAAGUGGCGUCUGCUGCUCCGGUCUGGUGGUGGUGUGUUGGAGAAGUCGUCGUCCUCGGUAGAGGUGCUCGGUUCCCCGGUGAAAGUCAUGCUCGACUUCGGUCUGGGCUGAUGGCGAAUGAUGCUCUUGGGUGUGAUUUUCCUUGUUGGAGGCGCCAUCCAGGGGAUCUGACACCUCCUUGAUCCAUGUUCUUGCCUCCCGGUGAAAACCGUAUGCAAUGGUGGCACGUGUAGUGUCAUUACUUCGUUGGAAGCUUUGCUUUGGAGCAAGUCUGGUAAUGGAGCACUUAGUUGCUAGUGGUGCCGUGGAUCUAGAGCCGGCAGCGUUUGGGUGAGCGUCGAGUCGUUGGUGGUGCUUCCGUUUGGAGUCGGUUGUUUGGUCGAGAUGAGAGCAGCAGGGGCACCCUUCAUAUACAAGUAUCGUCGGGCGAGCUAUGUCAGCUAGCCUCGUGGGAUCGGAGCGGCAUAGAUUUUUGCUCUGUCGGACUUAUCAUUCCUCUCCAGUGUCAUUGAGGCUUGCGGAUAUCCUCGUGGCAGCUUGGUAUAAUGCGACGGUUGUCUGUGUGCACUCUGGUAGCAGCGAUCGACCGGGUGUGUUAUGGGUUUUCGCCUUCCGGCGUUUUGUAUGUAUUCUGGUGCUUUAGGUCUAGUCUAGCUAGGCGCUACUAUGGUGUUUACCCGGUUUUUCACAAUAAACUGACCAGCCCUGUUUUCCUUUCUUCUUCUUUUUUUGCACUUACUUUUAUGCGAUGCAUUCCUCUUUUAUGGGGGUGAUCAACGAAUUUGACAGCUCUCAUGUCAACAUUAGAAAAAAUCAUAUGUAUGUGCAUGCCUGUAUCCAUCACCCUGGCCCCGGCCCGUGCAUGGCACGACGAGGCGAGAGUGUGCGUGUGGCAUCACUUUCUAAGAGGGACUAAAGAUUACACAUACACCUCUUGCCAUGCAUGAGCUUUUGAAAUUUACGUGAGCAACUAGUUAACGAGUGCUCCUUCAGGAGCCUCGCAACGAUCAGCGCCACUUGGUGCGUUCUCAGCCGUUCACCACGUAUCGCGUUCUGGGUGCUUUCUUUGGAUUUUGUUUUUUUGUUUUUUUCGCAUGCGUUUUUGGCUUUUUAAACGGGUUUUUUGGGGGGUUUUGGCAUUUCAGUUUUUCACCUGUCUUCCUUAGCUUUUGGAUAAAUUUUUUGAAAAAAACAAUUUUUGCGCAAAAAACGCAUUUUUUUUCUUUCGCGUGAGCCACUGUUUUGCUUUCACGAGAGGCACGGGUUUGCUUUCGCGAGAGUCACGGCAGUGCCUCUUGGAAACGGAAAAAAUGUGUUUUCUGUUUUUUUCCUUUCGCGAGUCACGAUUUUGCUUCCGCGAGAGGCACGGUUGUGCUUUCGCGAGAGUCACAGCCGUGCCUCUCGAAAACGAAAAAAACGUGUUUUCUGUUUUUCUUUCUUUCGUGAGAGACACGGUUUUGCUUUCGUGAGAGGCACGGUGGUGCUUUCGCGAGUGUCACGGCUGUGCCUCUCGAAAACGAAAAAAACGCAUUUUCUGUUUUUUUUUCACGAGUCACGGUUUUGCUUCCGCGAGAGGCAUGGUUGUGCUUUCGUGAGAAGUAUGGUCGUGCCUCCUCGGAAACGAAAAAAAACGUGUUUUCUUUUUUUUCGCGAGAGUCGCGGUUUUGCUUCCGCGAGAGGCACGGUUGUGAUUUCGUGAGAGGCACGGGCGUGACUCUUUCGGAAAGGAAAAAACCCGUCCUCCUGGUCCGGUUUUUUCGUCAGGUUUUUUCAUAAAAAAAAGUUCGUCAAAAUCUAUCAACAUGGGAUCUAGUUUUGAAGAUCUUGACGCGAGGAAUCCACCAGUGAAAGCGGUUCGAGAUUUGGACGCACGAUUUAAUAGAUAAAACAUUUUGAAUAAUGGAUCUACGGAAAAAGGGAAAACUCCCGGGUUGCGACAAAUGGCGCACAUGCAGCGCGCCACUUGUCGCAACCUGGGAAAAGUUGGAGUGAUCUUUGCAAUGAGUACUCCUCAACUAGUGAUUUUGGAAAUUUACUGAAUUUACUCUGUAUUCCCCUAGGCGAGGCCCACUAAUUCUAACAGAAACGACCAUAUCAUAUCAGUUACGGAACCGGAUCCUCUCACAGUGAGAAGGAAAGUUAGAGAAGCUAUAAUACGCUAACUUUCCUUCUUUCUAUCCAUACGAUUAUGGGUAAAAUGACUUAAAUUAAUUUGCAAAUUGAUGAUCUAUUGUGUACAUUUAUAGUAACUAGUCAAUGUGUACGUGCAAUGCACGUUAAUUUGGAAGUAUAUUAAGUGUAUGUCGAUAUUAAGUAGGAUAUUAUUUGUGUAUUAUUAUGUGAUUAGCAUUAUUUUUGGCAUGAAAUUAACUGCACGUUAAACAUGUUAAGCGCUCGACAUUGAAGCAGUCUAGGUCGUUGGAUUGACAUGAUUUGAUGGCCGAGAUUAAUUAGAUCUGCCUCUUUGGGUCUUUUUAUAUUGGUAUAGAUUACAUACAAACAAAUUGAUGGUGAAAUAAAAUUAAUUAAAUUAUUUAUAUUUAUAAUAGAUGUCAACAUUAAACAACCUACUGACAGUCCCUCACUUCCCUUCUUCAUUUUGUACCAGACUAACAUGUAGCACCGUGACUUUCCUUCAUAAUGUUAGAGGAUCCGGUUCCAUCAGUUACCAUGAAGGAACAAUUCUCAAAUAAAAAAUAAAAAAAUGAAGGAGCGAACGGUGGAAUGCAUCUGCUCUGCUCCGAGCCGUCGACACGCUUGCGACUCGCUCAGGCCCCUACCCCUUGUCCAACAAACCGGUGCAGUCCUUCCUCCGCCCCACCGAGGUCGUCCUGUCGUGUACAGCGCGUUGGCGACGGACACGAAGGCCGGUGGAAGUCCAAGGCGAGAGCGCUGCUGAAGCUGCUCAAAUCCAAAUCAAUUACAGUUAAGGUAUUCACUAGAGUUAGUGUUUGGAAGUUAAUGUUGCAGUUAAAGACUUGGAUGUUUUUGUAAGUUCUGCACCAAGAAUCUCUGCCAAUGUCAUGGUAGUAUUCAAUAAUGUUCUGCCAAUAUUGCAGUUAAAUGUGACUCUGUAAGGUUGAUAGUCAUUAAAAAUUACUCGGAUUUGUUUCUGACAUUUUUGUUCUAUCAAAUAAGUAACUGCACUUAGAGCAACUCCAAUGGGACGACCCAUUUCGUCCGCGGCCGUCCGUUUGGAUCGGCGCGGACAAAAAAAUCGGCCUAACGCGCCGAUCCAAACGGACGCGCGUCCGAUUUCGUCCGCCUGCCGACCCAUUUCCGGCAUAUUUUUGAGCCUGAUUUGCGUCGGUGCGGACACAAGACGGACGCGCGCGCGCUCGCCCUCUUUCCUCACCGGGCGCGCUGGUCGGUGGCACAUUGGAUUCACACCCUCGCCCACCUGCUACGUCGCUGACGCCGCCGGCCAUUUUUUCAAAUAAAAAUGGAUACAUAGAUAGUUCUAGCGUACACAGAUAAAAGAAAAGACCACUAUUCGUCGCUUUCUGACUCCGACUCGAUAAUGUCUUCCUCCGACGUCUGAAUGUAGGCGUCAGCAAGCUGCUCGUCUUCAAAGUCCCAACCCGACGUUUCUCGUAGCUUCAGUUUCAAUUGAGCUGCCUGCUUCCGCGAACGCUUGUCCUCCCGAUAGGCGGCUCGCUCCCUCCUCCUCGCGUCCCUCUCCAACCUCCUUUGCUUGUAGAACUGGCGCUCGUCGACGAUGUCCUGCGGGAAGCCUCCGCGCCACACCACCAAGGCUUCCACGUCCUUCUCCACGAUGGCGAGGCGACGCUGCCGCCUCCGGUGGACACGACGAUCCUCGUCGGUGAAAAGCCGCGGGAGAGGCGCCAGAUCCUGGGCCCGCUGGCUCGACACGUUGGGAAAAUUCAUAUCCCGACGAGGCCUCAGGAGGCGCCACGCCGCCGCGUCGUGCGCGCGGGCCGCCUCCUCUGCGGUGUCGACGGUACCGAGGAUGAGACGUUUCUCGCGAAACCAGAUCUCGGAGUAGAAGGCGCCGGAGCGGCGCUCGCGGACUCCACGAAAAUCCAAAGCGCGCAGGCGGCGGAUCGACAUGGUGGCGCAGAGGCGGCGAGAGUGGGCGGCGGACAGAGUGUGGAGGGAGCGCCUUCUUUAUAACGAGCGCCGGCCGCGGCGCGCGCGCGAACUUUUCCCGCGCGCUGGAGCGCCAAAACCAGCGCGCGCUAGGCCGCUUUCCCCCGCGCGCACGAACCUUUCCCGCGCGCUGGAGCGCCAAAACCAGGGCGACGGCAUGAUAUAAAACGCGCGCGGUCAUGAAAUGGGUCGGCCCGUUGGGCGCACUGCCGACCCAAAACUAAAAGACGGCGGAAGGCGGGCAGGCGGCCGACCCAAACAGACAAAAAGCGGACAAAAACGCCGUCCGUUUGGAUCGGUCCGUUGGAGUUGCUCUUACUAACUUUUGUUUCUGUCAAAUAACCAUCUGUUGCUGCACGAGCUUUACGAUCUAUUCUAGAGUUCUAGUGGCUGCUCAUCUGCUUAUGAGUACUACAUAUGUAGCUGUGGUUUCCUACAGCUGGAGACCGGCUUCAUCACUGCGACUAAUCGAUUACUGUUAUCCACAGGAACCAGUCAACACGCUUCUAAUCUGCCUCUGAACACUGACAACAAACGUAUGGUUACUAGUAUUAUCCUAGUGACAGAUUUGUAAGCCUGUGGCUUCAGCAAACUAAAACUCUAGUGGAAUGUAAAUAAAUAAAUUUGAAAAACAAGAGGAACCACCAUAAAAAAUAUGGAACCAGAGCAAUUCUUUGUGGGUCACACCCGAUUAUUUUCAGACAAAUAAAUUGGACCAAGUUUUUUUUCUCUUUAUUGGAGAUCAGAGAAGAAUUCCAGGAUGAAUUGUUCACAAUGUCAAGAUCAGGAUUUCCCACAAAAGUUGAUGAUGUUCCAGUUGCAUAUUUUCUACCAGAAUGAAACAAGGUUGAAAAAAAAAUGCAGAACUAGACAACUACAGUGCGGACCAAAGCCAUAGUAAAACAAAGGAACACAAACCCAUAAAGCGUUGAGAUUGAAUCUACCACUCUGCAGAACCAAACUGCAGGGUUCUUCCAGCUCUAUACACAAAAGAUUUAACUUCAGCUGUCACUCGAUUUCUUCAAUUCCUCCAAUACUAGAAGCCGAUAUUAAACAAACAUAAGCAGACAUGAUGUUUUUCUCAGAUUGGAAUUAACUUUUCAUUGCAGCGAAACGAAACGAUAGGAGUUACAACUAGAAGUUGGAUCUCACUAGACAAACUACAGAAACAAGCAUAGCCAGCGCACUGGAUUCACGACGGGGGGGAGUAAGACUACAGAGCAAAGCAGGAAACAGCAGUGUCAGCCAGCGGCAGCGCGCUGAUGGCGCUCAGCCGCCGAAGCCGUAGAGGGUGCGGCCCUGGCGCUUGAGGGCGUACACGACGUCCAUGGCGGUGACGGUCUUGCGGCGGGCGUGCUCGGUGUAGGUGACGGCGUCGCGGAUGACGUUCUCGAGGAAGAUCUUGAGGACGCCGCGGGUCUCCUCGUAGAUGAGCCCCGAGAUGCGCUUCACACCGCCCCUCCUGGCCAGCCUCCGGAUCGCCGGCUUGGUGAUGCCCUGGAUGUUGUCCCGGAGCACCUUCCGGUGGCGCUUGGCGCCGCCCUUGCCGAGCC